UUUUUUUUUGUUCUUUAGAUAGAGAGAGACAGAUACAAGGUCAAGCCCUCCUCUGCUCCCCUUGUGUUCGACGAACGACGAAGAUCUGUGGCACCGUCGCCUCCUCUUCGCCGGUGACGCGUUUCCCGUAGCGGAAGGGCGCCGCCGUCAAACGGCGUGGCUGCGGUGCCCCCUUUGCCCUUUGCAGGGUUGUUCUUCGUCCGAACGGCUCGGCUUGCCGAUGCCCGUUCGGAUCGAGAGGAACCAGCGCAACCUUAUGGCGGCGCACUUUGCCGGCGAGCACUAGGCCCUCUUCGGUGAACUCUUUUCUUUUCUGUUCUAGGGUUCGUGGGGAAGGCUUUGUUUGGUUUGAUCCAAAGAAUCCUGCACCCAUCUGGCUGAUACCAUUGAUAGAUCUAUGGGAUCAUGUAGGGUAGGAUUUCCGGGAAAUAUACCCUCUGUUGGUCCAGACGAGCUUGAGCCAGAGACCACGCCAGAGCUGUAGUGGCCAGUGAUGGCUGAGAGAUGGAGGUGGCAAAGCUUCCCGCCGCUAUCAGCUCCGCCUCGAUUAGUAGGCAGGGCAGGUGGGGUGCGAACCAUUCUUGGCGUACUGCACUCGUGGCCCCCACCUCCCUUAUAUGGAGCUGCGCGACAGGGGCCCGCAACCCAGUCGAGUUGAGUGUCCCUGGUCAGGACUGAGUCAAGGAUUCAGUUGGCCGUUGGGCCAACUAAGAGGAGAUCAACACUAACAGAUACAUCCCUUUUAUCCAUUUUGAUGACAAGUAUUUUCGGACGGAUGGAGUAGAUGGCAAGAGCCAUCCUUUGCAUCAAUGCGCCAAUCUCCGCGUCGAGAGCAUUAUUGUAGUUAUAGACAAACCGAUAUGCAACAAAGAUCACACUUUCAUCAUGCCUCUGAAGCACCAUAAGAGCCACAACAAUAUCGUCCUGCUCGAGGAAUAAGCCAUCGAUCAAAAGGGCAACAUGGUCUGCCGGUGGCGACCACGGUUUGCUGGGCUAGGUAUUUUGGCCUCAUGUCUACGUACAUAGUCGAACAGUAGCAUCUUUCCUUUGAUCAUCUCAUCCGUGCUAUAGAAGCAUGAGUGUAUCAGUGAUUUUGUGUCCCUAUGAAGGAACUUGACUAUCUCCUUUUCAUGUAACAUAUCCACACGGGGCUGCCGCAUACGCUAAAUAAGCAUGAUAAUCAUGUCUCGCACAUUUUCCCGGCACGCCGCCUUGACAUUCAGUAACUAAUCCUUACCAAUGUCAAUCAAGAGAGACUUCUUAGGGAGCGGCCAAAUAGACCUCAUUCACUCCCAUCUAACAUAUAAAGCCUCAAGAAGUGCUAGGCACAACCAAUGCCUCGAGCGCAUGGUACCACGCGAGGGAAAAAACACCGCCGCACCGCGCCGCGCCGCGCGUGGGAAAAUACAGCCAGGUGCAGCGCACCAUGCGAGGGGAAAACCACCGCACCGCGCGAGAGACGCGCUCAACGUGCAGGCCGUGGUGAGCCCCGCGCCCGUCCGCUUUCUCCUCCAUCCCCGUUCCCUCGUCUCCGUUCCCUCGUCUCCAACCCUAAUUCUUUUCCCCCUCCCCUACAGCCGCCUUCCCAAUCUCCUCAUCCCCUCCACUCCCUCGACAACGGUGGCGGCGGUGCCCUCUGGUGGCGGAGGAGGAGGGGGGAGAUGGUGGCGGUGGCGCCCUCUGGUGGCGGAGGAGGAGGGGGGAGAUGGUGGCACGUCGGCGACCUUCCCCUCACGCAUCCCAUCCCCCCUCGUCAUCCCGGAUCCCACCGGACCUGAGGCGUGCGGGCGCGGCAGCGACCUGCAAGGGAAGGGCGACGCUCGAAUCGAUCCAGCGCCAUGGAUCGGUCCUUGCGGAAGAAAGAGAAAAUGAGGAGCCGGGGUUGCUGAUCCGGCCGGCCCAGAUCCACACGCCUCCUCCUUCCGCCACCUCACCCCACCAGCUUCCAGCGCUGUGGAUCCGCCGAGGAUGGAUGGCAGCAAGUGAGAGGGAGCAGGAGAAGAGGUGAUCUUUCUUCAUGCUGGGGUGGAGGAGCAGGGAUAGUUUGGAGGCCGGUGGUGGAGGGAAGGAGUCGCCGGGUGGAGGAGAGGUUGGUGCCAGGUCCAAGGAGCAGCGGGGGCAGAGCACCAGGAGGCGCUCCCGUUGCGAUGGGUGGAGCUACAGAGGAGGGGAGGAGGAGGAUGCCGGGCUCAGCCACGAAGACGGCUCGGUCAGGUCGCGACGCCCCAUCCGCCACUUCUGUUGGGCGUCGUCCCCUUUUUCCUCGGAAUCAAAUAGACCAGAUCAAUACUUGCCAGGUACGUCCUGAAAUCUGAUGCUUUCUCUGUUGGCUUCUUCCCUUUUGUUCUACCUGCUAUUCUGGAAGUACUCGGGAUGCCUUUUGGUUUGCUUUGCAUCUGUAUUAAUAAGUUUUUAAGGCCAUUUCAUUUUGUGCUGCUGUUUCAGAAUAAUAUAUGUUAUGUUGGUGCUUUCAUUUUCUUAGUAUUGUGAUUGGGUUGCAGGGUGGAAUCUGCUGCUGCUGCACUGGUUGGUAAUCUGACAUACUACGGCCAGUGGUUGACAAUGAACCAUAAGGAGAAGAAGAACAUGCCAAAAGAUAGAUUGAGCAGGUGACUUAUUCCUGUUAGUUUUCAUUUCCGCAAAGAAAGAAACAAUUAUAUUAAUUGAUCUGGGUGUAUGCUCAUAUGCAGCAGCAAGAAGGUGAAGCACCAGGGAGAUGCACAUGGCAUGCCGGAAAUGUUGGGUGACCUCGGCCAGCGUUGGCUGUCCUUGCUGGCGACCUCGCCGUCUGCAACCCACCUCCAGGUAAUGCAACUUCUUCCCGCUUGUUCCCUUAUUUUCUGCUCAAUCCACACUUUGGUUUAUGCUUGUUGGGUGUGCAAUGUACUCGAUCUACCUUUUUACCUAUUUUGGUUUAUCUUCGAUACAUAUGCAAAAGGAGAGCUGGUAGAUACAGAUGCAAAAGGAGAGGUGCAGAUUUGGGAACUGGCUUGCUAACAAAAAUAACUCUAUAUGAAGAUUAAUUGCAAGGAUGUGAUCCUUCAAGGAAAGGAUGUGCAUGAUUAGGUCUGGUGCUCUGACAUAGCCAUUGCUCUCUGCCGUGCUUCACCGGGUUUGUCCAUCGUGUGAGAAUGUUUUUGUAUUACAGAGUGGUUUCACCAGCUUUGGAUGCAAGGUCUCAAAAGUUAUGUUGUUCCUGGAUUAUAUCUUGAUGCUAGCUGCUUUACUUUUUGUCUUUGCUUGGCCUGCAUUAUUGAUGGGGUGUAAUUUUGGUGCUGGUCUUUCAAUAAUUUUGGUAGGUCAGGUGAGAUGCUGAUGGUUAGCUAUGCUUUGGUUACAGUUUAGAACUUCCGAUACCUAUGAGUUGUGAUACCUUCUGUUUUGGUUGCAGCGGCCUGACCACACAGAGAAGAAUGGCAGACACUGAGGAUUUUUGCGGCAAUUUUUCUAAUUCGUUUUUACCUCAUGGAUUCUCAUUUAUCUCUCUAACUUCCAUUUACUCAAGACAAUUAUGGCUCUGGUAGAGAUCUAUGUUGUUCUGUUCUUUGUUAUAUGAUACAACCCAAGGAAACCGAGGCAACUAAUUUAUGCAUGCAAAUGGUUGGUUUAAAGAUCGAAGGCUCAUAUCUAGAUGGUUUUCUUCACAGCUCCAAGAUGAAGUAAAAGAAAAGCUUAUAACAGAAGAAACAUAGUUUGAUGGGCGUCCUUGCCAGUGGCAUCGCAGUCUCCAACCCGUCCGCGGGUAUUUCAUCUCCGUCCCAUUCAGUUUACUCCUUUUUGAUUUUUUUCCUACUUGAGCCUUGGAGAUUGCUAAUGGAAAUUUCUCUGGUGAGUUUUGCUUGUACCAGUGGUGCAGAGGAUGUCUUGCUGAACAUAGUUUUUAGUUCUUGAUCUUUUUUCAUAUAAGAAAUCCAAAUACAGUAAUGGCUCUUUCUGGGAGCAAGGCUGUCAUAUAAGGGGAAAAUUUUAGAAGCUAAGCGACCAUAAUUUAAAUCAUGUGUGCCUUGUUUGCUUCCUUAUUGUUAUAUUGCAUUAGAGAUCUUUAGUAUUUUGACUUUCUAAAAAUGCAGAGCAGAUCUUCAGUAUUUUGAAUUUUCAAUUACAUUUGGUCACGAGUUGUGAGAUGCAUAUAAUAUUAGCUUCCUUCACAACCAUUCAUGUGCUUUAUUCGGUUUGGUUGGUCGCUGCUGGUACUUUCAUACCAUUUGGUUAUGUGGCAGUGUGUGCUUUUUGUGUCUGCCCAAAUCCAAACUGCGCGUGGGGGAGGGUGUUCUCAUCCAGGCCUGGGCGUCCUUGCCGGCGACUACUUGUUGUCUAACCCAUCCACAGGUGUACCAAUUCAUUACCGUCUCUUCGAUUUUCCUGUCCAAGUCCAUCCUUUGGUUUAUCUUAGUUGGCGUGAGAGGUGCAAAUGCGAGGAUAGACUAUGCUAUAGUUCUUCAAUUUCUUCUUGUUAAAAGAAAUAGUCUACCUGACUGCCAUUCCGCUUCGACUAAAUCUGUUAUUAUAAUAUAUUUUUCCAUGAAAUAUGGUCUCAUUGUUGCUUCUUGAGUAAAUCUUUCUGCGAAAUCAAGAAUUUCAGCAGAGAGUAAUAGCCGUCCGGGACACAAAAAUUUGAAGUAUAGGGCAAGCAUUCUAAUUGUUCACACAUGAAGUAAUACUCUUGCAAGAGCUACACACUAAGUACUUUAAUUAUAAUCUUUUACGCUCAGGAAAAAGAUUCAACCUACAAAUCUUGAAAGCAUUUUUUGAAAUGUUUUUGCUGAGUACCUUAGAAAUCCCAUAGAAAAGGCUAAUAAGCAAAAUUUCCUGCUUAGUUAUAGUUCUGUGAUUCAUUGCUAAUAAUCGUGCUUCUAUACGGCCCUUGAAGGAUUUCCAGGUGCUGUUCGAUGGAAUGCUCAGUGGGAUGUGUGAAUUUUAUGGUCAGAUUUUCCUGCCAGGUUGAAUAGCUGAUGCAGUGCAUUGAGUGUUUUCCAUCUACCAGAUUUUUCCUAAUUGUUAUGUAGGCUUGUGGAUGUUUUGGUCGAGCUUGUGCUUGGAUUAUAAAUGUGACGUUUUUAGCUCUGUGAAAGUAAAGAUGCCUCGAUAUAAUUUGUGCCCAUAAUACAUGUUUUUUAAUGAUAAGAUGUAUCACAUAUGCUGCAGGUUUUGUAUGAAUUUCCAUUCCGACCUUUCUUGAUCUCAACUGCUCUUAAUUUGUUUUAUUGUUCCACCAAUUUUGUUUGUGCAAAAUCUACCAGCCCAAAAUUUUCUUUUGCUUUUGUUAAACCAUUGGCUCCUAGAAUGUUUGUUUAUAUAAGAUGAUUCUGAGGGAAAGAGUUCUAUCUAUUCUGUGGAGCGGAAUAGAUGUUUCUGUUGAGUUUGGAUUUGCUAUGAAGAAGAUUUACUUUUGCCUGAUCUACGACUUGGAAGAAAUACAAACUUGAACUUUCCUACGAAAGCAUAUGGGAGAUCCUAUUUCAUCGUCCACCUCGGAUGCCAAAACAGUUCCUUCUGAUGCAGGUAUGUUUAGUCGUACAAGACAUGUAUAUGUAUGCUGGACAUGCUUUUCUUGAAUCCAGAGUACUUUGACUUGCAUAUUAUUUAUCUUUUUUGUUGUUACGAAUCAUAAAUUACAGUAUAUAAGUACAUCACUGUGUUCACAUUGUUCCAACUGUAUAAUUAAUUAAUUAUUGUCUUCAUAUUACAGCUUCUCGAUGCCAGAUGUAAUUAUGCUUUUGUAAAUAUUAAAAUAGUGCAUACACAUGUCUUUUCUUCUCCUUGUCAACUUGUGCCAGAAACAAUAUAAUUUUUGUAUUUCAUUCUGUUGCCUUUUGGUCAAUGAUCAUUUUGUUGUGUUUGGCAUGCUGGAGGUGUACUGGAAUUUUGUAGAUUUCAGCUUUGUUGGUACCGUUUGCUCUUUCUUUAUUCUUAUGUUAUAUAUUACUGGGAAGAUGUUAGUGUGUGUUGCUAAGUGUACCACAUUAAUUCUCUAGAGUACUGAUAAAUUUAUAGUCGAUCCACACAGGCUGGGUCAGCCGUGCCAAUGUGCGAGAAGCAUUCGCCAAUCGCCGCGUGUUUGAUGUACAGGACGUGGGAAAACCCUGGAUGCCAAUCCCCUCUUGUCUGUGGUGAAGAUGGUUGAACCAGAGCAGAUCAGUUGUUGCAUAUUUUUAUACCACUCGAUCCAUAUGUUUCAUCAUCUGCGGAACACCAGAGAAGGGAUAUGUUGUUGUACAUGAGGUAUUAAUAAAGUUUCGCGUUCUUUGUUCUGGUGGAUUUGGUGCGUUGGGUUGCCAUGUAUGCUGAAUAUAUUUUCCUUAGAUUGCUCUUGUGUUUUUGGUGCAAAUUGAUCACAGAGGGCCUAGGAGGGUAAUUCUAACAAGUGAUGCUCUAAUAUUCACUUAUUCAGUUGCGUUCUGGAAUGACCUCUUUCUGCUUCCUCUUGUAAGCUUUCGUUUAUUUCGUUUGUCUGCUGUUUUCUUCCUUCUGUAUUUUUUUUCCUUUCUUUGGUGCUGGCGGCCAAAUUUAGAGGCUAAUUUGUUUCCUUUCAAGGAGGAAGUAAUAUAUGAGUUUUCUUUUCACUUCCUUGCUUUUGCUUAAAUACAAUCGCUUGUUUAUCGACAAAGGAAUCAGCUGAGAUUCGCUUUUGUUCUGCAAAUGGGAUUCCAAUCAAAUUUCAGUUUAACAUUUUCUAGACCGACAUUUUCCUGAAAAUAUUCUUGGCUGCUUUGGUGGUAAGCAUACUGAAGGUAGUAUUCCAUUGUCACUGACAUUUUACAGUUAAAUGUAUUUCUAAUUAAGUUUCUACAGAAAUAUGGUUGUCGAGUAGCAUCAUUGAUUUAUUAUAAGGUACUCCCUCUGUAAACUAAUAUAAAAGCGUUUAGAUCACUACUUUAGUAUUCUAAACGCUCUUAUAUUAGUUUACGGAGGGACUACUUAUUGCUAUUAGUGUCCCUUUCUACAUACUGAUGGGAUAGUCAAUUAGGUUCAUCAUGAUGGACGUUUACAGCACCAUAAUUGUUGGAUGCCCUUUUUUUAUCAAGUCGUUAUAAAUUCUGUCAAACCCAUGUCUUUACAUGAUUUUCUAACAUGAAAGUAGUCACUUCCUGGAUAUCGGAGUAUGUACAUAGAACUGAACAGCUUAUCGCCUCAUGUUUUGCUAGAGAAAAAUCAAGCACGAGACAUGUGUUAGGAUGAUGGAUUUCAUAUUAAAAAGACGGAUGUAAUAUAAGAGCACUUGGAAUGAGCACUUGGAAUGCAGUAGACAUAUGUUUAUAGUAGUGUAAUUGUAGGAUUCCUGAUUUGUGGUGCAUAGACCACCUGGAUUAAUUAGUUUUUGUAGUUCCUGUAUUUUAUUUCUUACUAAAAUUUUCUGGGUCGUUUCAAAAUUUCUGCUCUACACAGAAUCUUAAGAAGUUUGGAUAUGCACACAGGUCCUAAUAAUAAUGAGCUGUUUAGUGCAAUGCAUGUGGCAUGAUUACUUCUUUUUUUUAUGUUGUACGUUCUUGGAGGUCGCCAUUUCUCUCUUCUGUUGAUCAAGUUUUCUUCUUCUUUCUUCUGCUUAUCAGGGUUUCUUCCUUUCCUUUUUUCUGAAAAUUGCAUUUAUUGUGUGACCUAUGUAUUGUCAUUAUUCUUGCUUCAUUGGUCGUGUUGAUAUUCUGGGUUUGGCCCGACAUUGUGUUUUCUUUUGCCUCAUGCCAUUCAUAUUUUGUGGUUGCGUGUGGACAUGAUUUGCGCACUUAUUUCAAUUGUUAGCCGUGUAUCAUGGUGUGCUUUGCCUGCUUUUUCAUGCUUGUGUGAAUUGACCAUGGUCUGUUCUUGUUGGGGUAAAGCCUGAACUGCCGGGUACACUUUGCUUAUUGUCCUUAUUCUGGUUGUCCUUGGCAUCUUUCUAUCAGUGGAGAUCCUUGUUUUCAAAUAGUAGGGAUAGAGGGACAGAAAAGACAUAUUUGUCGCGGCGCUGCAAGUGUUGCCCCCCUCCUCCCCAAGGGCAAGUUGAAGGAAGGUGUCUGUGUGGUUCUUCUGCAGUUCACAGCGAGGAUUGCUGUGUCCAACCUGCACAAGAAUGCCAAGAAAUCCUUCUCGGAGAUGUAAGACACGGCGCAUGUUUCUGCCAUGAUUUCCUUUGGUUGGAUUUCGUGGAUUUAGGUAUUGAAAAAUUAUGGGCUGUGGAUGCAGGAUUAAGGACAUGUACCUGCACUACAACGAGAGAUCUGGGCUGCUUCUUUGUGGCUUCCAAACUUGAAAUGUUUGUUUGGAAGUUAGUUUAGUUUUUUGUUGUGGAUUCACAGCUUCUCACAUGUACCAUCCUCUUAGACCUUUAGAUUUCCAAAGAAACUAAAUGGAGAUAUGGUGGUAUGGUCUCAAUAGUACAACUUAAAGCCUUCCAUGCUUUAUAUUUUCUUUGAAAUUUGCUCUUGAAGAAUCAUGUAUCUAUGUUUGAUCCGGUGAGAAAAGAUGGCUUUCAAGUAGAGAAUGCGGGAGUGUUGGCCACAUUUGAUUUUUGACUUGGGUGUCUAAAUAUUCUCACAAUACUUGGCUCCCUCUCGGCCUUUGCGCCAUUGGCGCAACGAGUCAUCUAGUAGGAGGAGAACAUGUCCACAAGCCACACUAGCAUGAAAGCUCUGUUGUACGUUGUCACCACACAGGGAGCAAGUACCACGUGUUGAUAGGUGUCUAUAUGACUUGGUUUGGUUCGUGGCAAGAGUUUGACUAACUUUAUAUUAAAAAAUAUAAACAUUCACAAUAUGAAAUCAAUAUUAUCAAAUGCAUCAUGAAACGUAUUUUCAUACUAUAUAGUUUUAGUAUUGUAGAUGUUCAUAUUUUUUUUAUAUAAAUUUGGUCAAACUUUGUGUAGUUUGACUUUGACCAAAUCUUAUAUGCGGGGUAAAAAGAAACGGAGGGAGUACCUACAACCGCCUUCCAUGCCGUAAUUUUCAAAAAAAAAUUACGUAUCGUCGAAUUCUAUAUGCAGUGCCAGGCUGGACGUUCUCCCUCAAGGUGGCAGCUCGUCGCCCCCCCCACCCCCCCAGCAAAUGAUUCAUCAUGCUUGCUUGUGACUAACCGGUGGGCACUCUUGCACAUCCAUCGGCCAGAAGAGAUCAUCCAGACGUUACAUGUUCCAAGCCCCGUGUUCAUCGAGGAAUCCACAACCCAGUUAUAACGGCAAUUUCACUUCGGCGUUAUAGCCAGAAAUCUAGUGGCCUUGGGAUCCAUGGGUUGUGCCAGGUUCUAAUGAGAGACCCGUCACCCACUCUCCAAAUAAGUCCCUGCUUGACAAGUUCCAGUCCAUGCUCAAUUCCCCUCCAAACAGCCGAUGCAUUGCUGUAACAAACUGUAUCCAACAUAUCCCCAUGCGGGUAGUACUAACAUGUAGUAGCCGUGCACAUAAGCUCUCAGGGGCAUCUAUUGGCCUCCAAGCUUGCUUUGCUAGUAAUGCUUGGUUAAAGGCUCUCAUAUCUCUGAACCCGAUACCAACUUUAGAUUUUGGUAACAUCCAACUCAACCACGCCAUAUUCUUUUUCAUUUCUCCACCCCCACUAGUAAUGACGCAUCAUACAAGUCAAAUCAUCAAAAACCAAUGCCGGGAGAUGGAAAUCACUCAUACAUAGGUGGAGAUAGGCUGAGGAACGGAUUUGAUUAACAACUCCUUACUGCCAGAAGACAUGUAAUGUUUGCUUCAGUCAACUAAUCUUUUUCUCAGAAUCACUUGCAUUAUCUCAAACCUCCCCUUAUGCAUUCUCCCUUCUGCACCGGAAGCCCCAAAUAUUUGGGUUCAAACACUUCCUAUGUAAUUUCCAGAAUACUCUUAACUUCCUCAGUCACCGCCUCAAGGCAAUUAUCCGAGAAAAAGAUUUAACACUUUGCAGGGUUUAUAACUUGACCCUUCGCUGAUGGAUAUGUGUACAGCAAGCCUUUAACAAGCUCAAAAGAGUAAUAUUGAAUUGUCCGCAAAUAAGAGAUGGGUAAUAACUGGAGCACCUCUACAAUUUGAACUCCUUCCAGCCCCUCGUUCGCAACUGAGUUGUUGAUGAGAGCAGAAAGCACGUCAGCCACAAAGAGAAAUAAAAAGGCGACAAUGUGUUAACUUGGCGGAGGCCCCUAAAGGGGGAGAAAGGUUAUACCAAUCUUCUACUGAAUUGCAUUGAGUUCCUCAUCGGGGUCAUGCACGCCAUAAUCCGAGAGAUCCAUAUUAGAGAGAAGCGCAAUUUGAUAAGUACCUUCUCCAGAAAAUCCCAAUCAACACAAUCGUAAGCCUUCCACAAAUCCAACUUAUAAGCACAACAAGUUGAGAGUUAUUUUUUAGAGGAUGUAUAUAAUGGAUGUAGUCGAAAGCAAUUAUACGAUUAUCCAAAAUAAACCGACCAGGAACGAAAGCAGUUCGGUUUUACUAGAUGAGUUCCGCGAGGAAGGGUCUCAGUCAGUUAACCAAACACUUAGAAAUAAUGUUUACACCACAUUGCAAAGAAUUAUUUGUCUGAAAUCCUUCAGAUCCAUGGGAUGGAGAACCUUUGGGAUCAUAAUUAUGGCGUUUCAUUAACUCCAUUCGCUGUGAUUCUGUGUGAAAUAAUUGCAGAACCACUGCAAUUAUUUUGUUCUUUAGAACAACCUAGUUACGCUGAUAAAACAAAGUCGAAAACCCAUCCAUACCAGGGGCCUUCAAGGGGCUAAUAUGAGAUAACACAUUUGAGACCUCCACUUCUGAGUACGGGGCACCUAAUUUUUCAUUCAUCAACUCUGUUACCUUUCGUAUUAUGCAAUCCAAAACCACAUCAGGGGCUAGGGCCCGAUAUUUUGUAAAUAGCUCCUUAAAAUACGAAGCCGCCAUACGUUCAAUAUCAGAAGGGGCCUCACACCAAGUACCAUCCUUUUUGCGGAAUCUUUUUAUACGAUUUUCCCAUGCUCUCCAGACUGCCCAUUGAAAAAUGUAGUAGGUCUUGCGCUCGCCCUCCUUCACCCAUGUGGUUCGUAAAUACUACAGCCAAAGAAUCCCAUCUCUAUACAGUAGUUCGUCGAGUUGAUUCAUUUUUUGCUGGAUCGCCACAUGAAUGGCAUCAACAAGCUGUAGAUUAGCCAUCUGGGACCAUAGCUUCUCUAUAUACUUCAUUACAUGAUCAAAAUUAUACUUGCUCCAUGAGAGCAAGUUAUUCAUCAACUCCAUAAGAGAAUCACAUACCGAAGCAAGGUUACCAACGGGUCGUUUCAUUGCCCAUGACGCUGCAAUUUUCUCUGGGAAGGACGGGUCACGCUCCCACAUAAUCUCGUACCGGGGGGGGGAGGGUGGGUGGUUGGCAAUGUUGUUGUCCCUCGUCGGUUGUAAAGCGUACCAUGAUGGGCAAUGUAAGAGUAGAAGGUGUCUAGAUGAAGCACUCUAGCGAAUGAAAACAUCUCCCUCCAAGCUUCAUCCACACAUGCCCUGUACAUCUGCAUGCGGACAUUGUGGUCGCCCCGCUGCCAUUAUCGUAUCUAAAUGGAACACCUAAGAAUUCCAGGUCCGAAAGUUCACACAUCAUCAAACAGUCUCAAAUGGCAGUCAUUUGGCGUUCAGCAUGCAACGAGCUCGAAAAUUGUUCAUGUUGCCGAAGUGCUUCAUUGUAGUCGCCACAAACAAUCAAUGGGUCCUGCUGUACUGCCUGUAGAUUUGUGAGGUGUUCCCCCAUCAAGUGAUGAUUCUCAACUCAGGGUUCCCAUAAACAAACAUGGUCUUCCAACUAUUAAUAUGCAUGGAAGAAUAAACACCAAACACAUCCCUAGUCAUGCCUUUGGACUGGCUCAUGUAUUAUUUACAGUUCCGCUUUCUUAACCGUAGGCAUUGUUAUUGUAACAAUUACGCCUAGAAUAAUGUGUACACAUUGUUAUUAUAACAAUGGUGUUGGAUAGACCCAACUUAUGAAAUAGUGUGUGAUCGCUCGUCAAUAUGUUGUCGGUAUUCUCAUUUAAGGUAUUAACAUUUACUUGUGUCCAUAGACCAUGCGGAAACCAUAUAACCGGAUGCCAGAUGGUUACUUUGAUGUUGCCAAACGUCACUCCUUAACUGGGUGACUAUAAUGGUAGCUUUCGGUUAUACCAAGAAAGUAUGUUGUGGUGUUCGAUAUGCCAAGACCAGGACUUGCUCCUCCAGCGAUGGAGAGAUACUGGGACCAUUGAGUAUUAGGGUGUCCAUUAUCUCUUAGCCAAACAUAGUGGCUAAGGUGUUAGUCACGUGGACUCAAAAUACGGUAAUGAGAAAAGAGUACAAAUCAGUAACGAGGAUAACUAGGUAUUGUAUUAGUUGGAAGCAUACAAAUUUGGAAUUAGAACAAACUUGAAUAUGAAGCAUGAAAGGAGUGCCCCGGGUGUAGAAUUAGUUAGUAUGAUGCACUUUGAAGUGUACUAUGUCACAAGGAUCCAAUUUAACUGGAAGCAUACAAAAUUGAAAUGGAAAUUAAACAAAGUACACACGAACAUGUAGAUGUAUGUUUCUGCGAACUAUACUGGAAAUUCAACAAGUGAGUUGAAGUAUUUGCAGCAAAUUCUAUCUAUACAAUUGAAGUACACUUUGGAAGCUCCAUAUAUAAGAAGCAUGUUGCUAUAUCGAUAAUUCUUAACUUUACUGGAAGCAUUCAAAUUUGAAACUAGAAACUAACAACUACUCCCUCUAAUCCAAAAUAAGUGGUGUGGUUUUAGUUCAAAUUUGAACAAAAACCACAACACUUAUUUUGGAACAAAGGGAGUAGCUAUGCGAGUUCGGUUAGUCUAAAAACCUAAAACAACUAAAAUUCUUGAUGACCUUAUGACAUAAUGCAUGGAUAGAACAAUUUUUACACCAACAAUCGUUAAUGCUUAGCGCACAAUGAAUAUAUGUACCCAUGAAUAUUAAGCACACAAUGUAUUAGAUACCUAAUUACUUGCUGAAAUUAAAUAUCAUUAAAUUGACAAUAAUAUGAACAAAGGACAUGAGGUGAUGGAAGCGAGGGGUGGGGGUGGGGGGGGGAUUGAUGGAGUGCGAUACUUUAUAUUCUGAGGAGGGGUUUCAAAGAGGGAAAUACGACUGGAGGCAUCUACAUGUUCUCUGGCAAAAGAGUGGUACACCGACAGUAGGUUGAACCUCUGGGUAACCUGGUGAAGCACCAAACUGGGAGGAGAUUGUGGGCACGCCCUCCUAAUGCCGACAUAGUGUAACAUUGAGGUCUCCCUAAGGGGGCAUCGAUGGUGUGGUACAUGGAGUGGGAAUGGCAGGGAAUCAUAUCUAGGUAGCGAGGGUGGAUGGUGUGGUCGGCUGCGAGUUGUGAAGGAAGCAUGGUGCGUAGUACUUCGUCCUUCCAAAAUAAGUGUCUGUUGAGACAAUUAUUUUGGGACGGAGGGAGUAGAUGGGAACUAGGCGGCGUAAUUGAAGAGUACAUUGGUGGUGGGGUUGACAACAAGGUAGGGCCGUAGGGGGGGGGGGUGUGUUCAUGGCAGGAGAGAUGAACGACGUGCCAGACAAUAAACAAACGAGUAAUUAGGGAUGCGUGAUAUGCGAGCGGUUAGCAGCGGGCCAAAAUGGUGAUAUGUCAGCCAUGAGAUUAUGCUAGAAUCGACAGUAGUCGUGUGGUCCAAUGUCAGCCUCUAAUCAGAUUAUUGAUUAGCAUCGUUUCUUAAAGUAAAAUUGACACAGAGAAUUAUGGUUGGAGAGCUCUUUAUUUAGGAUUCAUCAAUUGUACAUACAAAAAGGAUGCCCUCCUAUUUAUACUAGAUGAUUCCCCGCGCGUUGCGGCGGGAACCAACUUCCAAAUUGAUGUAAAAAUUGUAUUUAUUGUACCAUGAUUUUUUUUGUUUACCUUGGAUACUCAUUAGCUAUUAACUUAUUUCAUGGAAGUACUAAAAAUGGACUCAAUUUAACACGGUAGUGAUAAAUUUUGUAUUUAUCAGGAAGUACAAUGCUUGUUGCCAAACAGAAAAUUUGCAAAUAGCACAAAAAUGUGAACAAAGUUGCAUUACUUCCAUGUAAAGUAACUUCACUCGUUCACAAUCUCUUGUGUUUGGAUAAUGGAAUAGAUAUAUGACACUCAUUCAUCCUCGUCAUAACAUGAUUUCAGCUCAUCAAUUUAUACUUCAAGAAGAGGACACACCAUGUAUUUACAAAAAAUUGAGUGAAAGCGAGUUGGUCGAUUUAAAAGUCAAUCGAAUCUGGAUUUGAUUUCUUCCACCUUUGCUUGUUUAUUGGACAUAAUCCUCCAUUGCUUCACAUUGUUAGCUCUCAUUGGAAGUUGAAAAUCCUUGUUACAUGGCUCUCAUUAUAGGGGCUUGAACAUUGGGCCAAUGCGACAAUAGUUUAUUGGGUAGCAUCAUAGAAAACAUAUGGAGAGCGCCGGUAUGGGUCGUACUACUAUAUGGUACUCCCUCCUUACCGGUUUAUAAGGCUCAUAUCUGAAAUCUCACCAACCAAGGGAAAUGUCUAUUGGCUGGGAUGAAUUGAGCUGGUUUAGAAAGUGCCCAAUAAGCUUUGGGCUUUUUCUUGGCGAAAACUGUGCGCGCCGCAAUAUUAAUUCUCGGCCGUUCGACCCCCAACGCAAUAACUCCAGCGCCCGCGUGCUCUAUAUGCUGCGCGCUAACGGCUGCAUGCGCGCGCUCUCUCCCGCCUCCGCUCAGAACUUACUGCAUGCGCGCGCUCUCUCCCGCCUGACCUCAAAACUAAUCCGGCCCGUGCGCGCGGUCUCUCUCACCUCUCUCUCUCAUCUGCAUGGCGCAUGCAUAGGCCAGUUUCAUUUUCAUGGUUUGCAUGCACGGCGCCAAACAACAAAUGAAAGAAGCACUGCCACCAAAAUCCUCUGGUGCCAUUAGCUCAAUUUUUGGGUUUUCAGCGUUGGGGCCGCGAACUCGAACACUGCCUCUCCCGCCAUAGCAAAUCGUACAUGCACUGUACUAAAGUGGUGGGCAGCAAGCAAGUUUAGCCACACCAUUUUUCUCGACCUGGGUGAUCGUGAGCUGGUGCACGAGCUGCUCGACCUUGUCGAGGAGCGCUGAGAAGUUAUCGACGAACGCCUCGACUUGGUCCAGAAGCGCCCCCACUUCAUCAUCAGCUUCGUGCUGACCCUCGCCUCCGGCGGGAAGCUGGCUCUCUGCGUGUGCAUCAAACACAUCAUCAGCGGCGGACUGUGCGGACUGCAUCUCCGUUGACAGCUGCGUCAGCAGCGCCCAUGGCUACGGCGCCGCCGGAGUUCUCCGUGCCCAUCACCAAUGGCUGGAGCUCCUUCUCGACGUCCGGAAUCCAAUCUGACAUCGCUUUGCUGCUCUCGUUUUGUAUGUGGAUGAAAAGAGUAGAGGAGGGUGGGUGAAAGAACACGAGUGUUUCGAGUCGUUUUAAAGAAGUGGGUGGUGCAUGCAUGCAUGCAUGCAGCGAGGGAGAGGAAAGGAGUUGGCCAUUUCUCUUCGUACGAGAACAGCAGCCAGCGAAUUAAUUGUGUGCGUAGGGAUCGAAACGACCGCAGCGCUUCAAUCGAGCGGACCACGAAUUGAGCCUUAUGUUAUGGAAAUCUGGCGAUUUUGAAAUGAGCCUUAUAAACUGGUAAGGAGGGAGUAGUACUAUCAGGGCCGUUGAACCGUGCAGAUCGGGGGCAGCUGGGCGCAUUGAAUGCCAUGCGAGCGAUCUCCAGAAAUUGGUGGAAUUCGCCAGCGGGCCACCCCACAGAGCGGGGAUACGGUAUGAAUACGGGGGACACGUGGGUCGGCUCCGCACAGAGAAAACGGGAGACGACGGAGUUGGACCGCGGGAACAACUGCGAGUGUAGAUCAUGUACCAUGGUCCAGAUAUUUUUUCGUACCCAUCCAGCUCGCGGGGGUGUGCGCUAGCUGUAAGCUGUUGUUAUCCCUUUGCAGGAGGGAAAAAAUGGUGAAAACAGCGGAAGCUACCGACAAAAACUAAAAGGAAAUGGAGGCGAGAGAAGAGGGGCGCUGAAUGGAGGCGGAUGCGUCCUGGGCGGCCGCGGGAGCGGCCACCGCCGCGGCUGCCGGCGAGGUUUUCCUGUGGAUUCGGUGUGCAGGUGACCACGGCCACCCCAGCCGACCCCCUGUCCACCAAUUUUCCUCUAUAUCUAAUCCGCUGUAGCUGUCCUGUUCUGUUGUGCAUCUCAGAUUGCCCAUCUUUCCUGGCGGCGGCGAGGCGUGGGGCGGCUCCGUCCAGGAUGAGAUUAGCAAGAGAGCCGGCUGGCGGCAUGCUGGGGUACCUGGUUCUUCUGUUGCUUUUUUUUUGAGGGGAGGUUCUUCUGUUGCUGGUCAAGAUAGAUGCGGCCAGCCACCGGGCGAAGGCAGCCCAGGUGCUUGAUACGCGGGUCCAAGAAAAACGCAUGGACAUAAGACCGUAGUGGACCAAUUUAGCUGAACCUCAUAAAUGAUAUCAGACAAACGACUUCGCCUCUGUGCAGAAAUGAAUUCCCGAAGUGAAUACGGUGGCCUAUACAUGCAUGGGCGUGGAUCUCGAGGAGGACCAACCCCUGGGAUAAUACUACUAUAUGAUGGUAUGACCCAUAUCGAAUUUUCGAAACAUAUGCUAAUAUACACCAAACAAAAAGAGUACAGGUAAGGUAUGAAAUGUUCUUGCUAUAAACGUAGCCACAAUUAAAUCCUGAGAACGAAAUUAUAUAAGAAUACAAACUUAACAAAUGAGGAUUUGGUAACCAUCAAUGAAUAUAGAGCCAAACCCCUAAAAGACUAUUGAUCCAAAAAAAAGGUUACUACUAAGAGGGCGUUCAAAUAAUCGUAGCAGUACCAGGUGGUGUCAGGAAGUAUAAAAAGCGUAUUGGUAAUUCUCUGGUGCACAACAAAGUAAAGGAACAUACGCAUAUUGCACCAACAAUUUUAUCCAACUUGAAAAAUAUGAAAUAUUAAUGUCGUACUAUUCAUAAGGAAUCAACCGAAGCAUAUGACCAAUAUUAGUUUAAGAUUUUAAUAAUGCCACAAAUUUAAGAAUCCUACUGACUUGUUCCUAGGAUCUGAGCAGGGUAGUUAAUAGGUUUCUCAACUCAAAAGCAUGUGCUCAGAAAAAAAAUACUGGAAGAAAAUUGCAAAAAGUAACAGAGAGAGAAUGAUGAAAGGUUAAUGGAAAUAGAUGAACAUUUAACACACUUAUUGCUUAAUCUGAAUAAAGUCUUUUACAUUGCUAGCGUAGACCCCCUGGCUGCAACUCUAGAGAAGCAAUGGGGCGGUUGCAACUGCUGCAUGGAGAAGGAAGAUUUGUAAGCAAGGAAGGGGAAUAUAACAUGAGAUAAAUAAAUACAGCGUGAGUGAUGGCGGAAACCUAUUCCGUGAACAGCAGGAGUCAUGAUUUCUACACAUCCGCAUGACAAACCAAGAAUGAAACCAAUCAAUUCUGAUGCAUACGAAGAAAACAACCAAGCAUGUAAAGAAACUUCUCGUGUAUAGCAUAGCAAAGCAGAACUGUCACAGUAAAAUAAUAACCAAGGAAAAAAGCUUACCAGUCCUGUGAUAUGUUAGAUGAUACCCAAGCACACUUGACCUGAAAACAUGACAACAGAGUGAUUUCGAAGGAAGAUGUAUGUUCAGAGCAGAGGUCCUUUGGUGAUCAUGAUGAUGUGAUGAGAUCUUCCGUCAAUUCCGUGGGAAACAACAUCUUGUAUUUGCUCAGCCUGUGAUCUAAUACAAUGUCCAACCAAUGCGGCCUGAUUGUCUUAUAUAUGCGGUAGCCAUGGGUCCGUCAGAACAGCUAAGCGAGAACGGGGAUCGGGCGAGGUGGAAGUAAUGAGGGGUGAUUGAAUACUUACGUUUCAUGUGCAUUCUUGGCCGGGAGAGCAUGCGGCGCGGCGGCGGAAGCGAAAGUGGCAGCGAGGAAGAUGAAUCGUGAAAAACCUAGUGCGAUAUAGGAGUAGUUACAUGGGCUAUCUUUUAUUUUCUUGAGGUUUAGUCCGUCGGUCAUAGCUAACACACAUGGGCCUCCAACCCAAAGAACAACCAAAGGUCACAUAUAUAUUGGCUGGGUGUCAGCCCGUUCGGGUGCAGAAGUUGUAGUCUUCGGCCGACCUAGGUAAGAGAAAUCUAAUCGGGCAAGGGAUGACGUGGGAACGGUUUUUACUGAGAUGGCAUGGUUGAUGAUGUGGAUAGGCUGCAUGUUUAGAUAAAUAGGUUAGUGGGGAUGGAUCUCUUAGGUAUAUAGGAUAAGUACUAGCUAAUUAUCUGUGCAUUGUAACGGGGGCAUAUAUAUUCUAGUGGUUCAACAUCAAUCGUGUCUGACAUAAAUCUUACACGCGUCGUAUUCUAGAUUUUGUGAAGAUUUGGUUUGAUUUGAGUAUGGGUAGGGGAAAGCAAGGAAAAUUUUGAUUUAGUUGAGAUUUUGGUAAGAUUUGAUUUGGGUAUAGGUAAGAGAAGGCAAAGAAAGUUUAAUUUAGUUGACGCUUUGAUAAAAUAUGUUUUGAAUUAAUUGAGUUAAUGCAAGACAUGAGAAUGGGGUCAAGGGAAGAGGGACAUACGAACGCACAAUUAUCAACUCCCCUUUAAUAAAAUAGAUGAGGGUGAGGGAUAAGUGUUCACUUUAAGUUAAGUUUGAAAACAUUCGACCAAAGGGGGAAGAGGUGGCCGAUUUGGGCCCACCAGCUUCUAAUAGGCCAUCAGUUUUCUAAGAACAUCUAUAGCCGACCCGUCAAAUAUCACCCUUCAAAUCCUCAAAUCCAUACAUUCUCAUGCAACGUAUAAAUAAAGCACACGUAGGUCAUCAAGAUCACACGCAUAGCAUAGGGACAGUUCAUCAUACACGCCAACGGACUAUCAAAAAUUGGCAUGCUCAAAAUACUAGAGUGGCUACGGUUUAAUCCACAUACGGAAAGGAGGGGAUAUUUGUGGGGUCGGGGUUGGCCGGUUGUGCCGGAUCCAAUGUGGCAGACGUGUCUGGGCGCGCCAGAACCUCUCCAUAUCCACCCCAAAUAUGGUCUGUGUUUGAGAGGUACCCCCGCCGGACAACCCGAAUAUGGAGAGGUUGUUUGAUGGGUCUGACUGACUUGAGUUUUUUGUGACCGAUCAAUGACUUGGCCGUCCGUGCGGACAUACAAUGACAAUUUGAGGGGCUCAUUUUUUUUUGCCGAGGAAUUUUUUUUUGCAGGAAAAACUUUCAAUCUAUUCAUUUUCAAUCAUGGUAGUACAACAAAAACUAGAAAUAAUAAAAAUUACAUCCAAAUCCAUAGACCACCUAGCGACAACUACAAGCACUGAAGCGAGCCGAAGGCGCGCCGCUGUCACCGCCCCUCCCUCGCCGGAGCCGGGCAAACCUUGUUGCAGUAGACAGUCGGGAAGUCGUCGUGCUAAGGCCCCGUAGAACCAACGCACCAGAACAGGAACCGCCGCGGAUGAAGAGUGUAGAUCAAAAGGAUCCAACCUGAAAACACAUGAACGAAGACGAACGACAAACAGAUCCGAGCAAAUCCACCAAAGACAGAUCCGCCGGAGACACAACUCUACACGCCCACCGAUGAUGCAAGACGCAUCACCGGAACGGGGGCUAGGCGGAGAGACCUUUAUUCCAUCUUCAGGGAGCCGCCACCGUCUCGCCUUCCUAAACAGGACACAAACCCUAACAAAGCUCGAAAAAAGAUCUAAAAACGGAGCCCUCCACCGGCAAGGGCCGAGAUCCACUCCGCCUCCAUGGCCAUACGGCCACCGGAAACGGGAUGCACCGGCACCGGCACCGGUGGGAGGCAGAAAGCUAGGGUUCUUGGAGGCGGCGGCUGGGUGAUCCGACUAUAGAUGCUCGAACAAGGAGACCACACCCAACCAUUGAACUGAAUCCAGGAAGUUGGAAGAUCGAGUGGCGUCAAUUUUUUAAGGCAGCUUACGUAUGUCCCCGAAAAAUAUAUGAAAAUGCACUAAUUUCCGUAGAGAAAGAAAACGGUUAUUACACACGUGUCUAGCGGACAAGGCGAGCACUUCCCUUAAGGGCAACGAUCUGCGCCGGCGCACCGGCCCAAUCGUUGGGCCGGUCAAGCCCCAGCCGCCCGAUCCGCGAGCUCGAGCCGUCAGAUCUGUUUCCUCGCGCCCCCUUCCCCGCGUUGACUUCUUCUUCCUCUCCUUCUUCUUCACCGCGCCCCCGCCCCAGCCGCUCCUGCCGGCGACUAGCCCCCUCACCUGGACCUCCCCCCCUAGUCCCACGCUGCUGGAUGCGCUCUCCGUCGCCGCCAGUCGCCGUCCCCGUCGCUGUUGCAUCAUCCAUACUCACCCCCCGGUCCAGCAGAAAGCCCCCCUUUAGCAAAAAAUGGCGCCGUCUUGAAGCACACCGGCACCCCCUGUCGUUGCAACACCUAGCAGCCGCCAUCGUCGCUGCACUGUCGUGUCGCCGAUGCAGCUCUCAACGUCGCUGCUCGCUGCCAUUGACGAGUCAGGUUGAAGCUUUUUAUCUCAUCGGUUGAAGUUUUUCUCUAUGCCUGUUGAAGCUUUUCUCGCGGAUUGAAGCUUUCCACCAUGCCAAUUGAAGCUUUUUUCACCUGAGCUUGAAGCUUUUUUCACAAAGGGUUGCAGCUUUUUACUCUGCAGUUGCAACAAAACACACAGAGAGACGUCGUGGUCGUCGUCGAGGAGGAUUUUCUCAAUCUCUGUUUGAACCUUUUUCAUCUGCGGGUUGAAGCUUUUUGUCAAAACGGUUGUAACUUUUCCUGCAUUUCGUUGUCUGGUUGAAGCUUUUUUAUCUACUGGGUGUAGCUUUUGUGUCCAUGGUUGUAGCACGGGAAAACACCGUUUGCAAGUUUCCCAGUACCGCGGUUGCAGCUCCUCCCCUCGUGGCUAUGGUUGUAGCACGGGCACCUCGGUCCUCCCGGCGUUUUGCCUGUCGCCGGUUGCAACAAAAGAGGAAGAGAGGAGGAGGAAGAGGGAAGAGAGGGAGAAGGAAGAAAAAGGAGGUGGGAAUGAGAGCGGGGCUGCAACCUCUACAUCCAUGAGCGACGGCGAGCUGCUCCACGCGCUACAAUAGAGGAGGCGAGAUGGGAUCAGGCGGAGGCGAAAGGAAGAAGAAGCAAAGAAAAAGAAAAAAAGAAAGAAAAACGUUUGGGUCAACUAAGCGCGCGCGUGCCAACGUGUCCCGCGCGUGAAAAAAAGGAAGAGACCGGCCGAGCACUUCGGCCGGCGCACCGUCCCCAAACACUUCACUUCCCUAAAUCACAGGUUGACACAUAACGACCGACUCGGAAAGCGACUGCGUGCAUGCAGCUCCGGCCGGCGACGUCAUGCAUGCACAUACGGCUGGCUGCCGCCGGCCUGCGCGCGUACUUGGCGCGUCGUGUCGAGCGGGCGGAGGCGCCGGCCGCACGGAGGCCUGACUCGGAGUCGGUUGCGACGGAUCGAUGAAUGUCCGUGCCGGCCCUCUGCGUGUACCUGCCCUGGUUAAUUGCGACCGAUCAAUGCGAUGGCGGUACAGUGGCCUGGGCACGCACUCGGGGAGAAAAAAAGAACGUACACCCAUGAAACGUCGCGAUACAGAGGUGCACCACGAACGUACCAGUGUACCUCUACAUCUACAAUUACCAACGUCGUGCUGGUACGUGCAUGAUGAGGAUGCACCUAGCUAGAUGGACUAGACGCUGCUGUACUGCUCCACGUGCACGCCGGCCGAUGCCCGUGCAUUCUGUUAAAUUGAACCACUGUGCGGGCUGCCAACGUCCAUGUAAUGUAGUCCACGAGAAAUAGAUCGUCGUAGUAGUUUAACUGUGUGGUUUCCAGCAAAAUUACUGCUAGUAUUUUUCACUGGAGAAGGAUUGCUGCUACGGUCGUAUGAUUAGAAAUCAAAGAAAGUAGUAGGAGUAGCCAGGAGCAUCAAAAGGAAGAAAAGACCAAAGGAAAGGAGCAAAUCAGAUGAAAGUGAGUGUGGCUGCACUGCAGCUGCAGGAGCGGCGAAAGUCGACGAAAAAUAGACUGGAAACAGAAUUACAGCCAGCCUUGCAUCUACGCCGCUGUCUGAAGACCGGAUGUACACCUGCCGCUUUGCUCUUUUUCCCCGGUUUUUCGUGGGCAUCGGCCGGCUUUCCCUUUCGGAGCCGCGCGACUCUCCACGCAUCGAAUCCAUCACAAACCAUGUAUAUACUCCUCCUACUGCCAUGCAGUACAUGCAUGCGUAUAUCGAGGCGCUCGUGUACGUGCGUCGACGACAAAAACACAACGGAUAAGUAUGGAGAGAUGCCUACACGAAGCUUUCUUUCGAUGGAGCUCGUCUCAUCGAGAAAAAAGACAGGCUUGGGUGCGGUUCACGAGGAAAAGGACGCAGGGGCUUAGCUUAGGUAUGUACGGACAGAUCGAUGGCCUGUUUGGAUACUCUAAUACAGCUAGAGGUAGAGUUAUUUUCUAACCCACUUUAAUCUAAAUAAGCAUCUCUUCAUCGGAAUAGUUGGGUUAGAUGAAACUAACCCACUCAAACCUUUUCUGUUUGGAUACUUUUAAAUUAUUUGAGUCCCAACUAACCCAAACUAGCAGUGCGCAUCGGUGGUCACGCGAACUUUUGCCAUCGCAUCGCCGCAGCUUGGAUGGAGCUGUAUCUUUAGGCCAACUCUAUCACCUAAAAACCGGUCUAAGAGUAUCAACGACCGGACUCUGCAAAUCCGAUCCAUCAAACGUCCGUGGACGCGACUGCACACCCGCCAUGUCUUAAAAUAGGCACUCUGCAUACAACUGUCCUAUAUUUCAACCCAUUUAUACAAAGCAUGCAAAAGAAAUUCUACGUAUUAUAUACUACGUACUACCCUGCAUGACGGUACCGGGCGCCGGCUCGACGGCAGGUAGGAUGGCUCCGGCUCAUCCUCCUCCUGCUCUACCUUAUCCAUGCAGGAGAGUAUCUUCGCCUCCUCCACGGCCUGCUGCGCCUCCAUAUCCUACCGGCGACGGCGCCUGGCCUCCGCAGCCGACUCCAACCGAAGGGAAUCGAGGAUGGCCUGCUACUACGACUGCAGAUCCACGUCGCCAGCGUCCCUCACAUCCUCCUCCUCCGGCUCAUCCUUCUCCUCCUCUGGAUCUACUGCAUCCAGAGGUAGCACCACGACAAUUCAGGCUUCGCGUCUUGCUCGGAUCUGCUCAAGGAGCUCGAGCCGUCAGAAAUGGCUCGCUCCUCACCCGGCGGCGCGGGGGCAUGGCUACUAGGCGGACGGGUGGAGUGAAAAGUGGCGGCGGCGGACAGAGGGAGAAAAUGAGGAUGGUAGGGUUUCGGUGCCACCGGUCGACAUAAAUAGCCAGGCUAGGCACUACUCGGCCCAUCGGAGCGGCGCCAUGCGGCGCCACCGGUCCGACAGAGGAGACGAGUUUCGGACCGCCGGGCUUCCGGGCGUUUCCACAUGGGGCCCGGGCGCCCAGAUAUCCGCCCCAUAUUUGGGCUGGAUAUGAGGGAUGGCGUACAUCCCAGACGUUUGAGGCCCAUUUGAGACGCCCGUCUGGGUCGAAAAAAGGGGACCGAUCAGUGACCGGGCGGGCCGCCCGGGCGUUUGAGGCCGGUUUGGGGCACUCGGUUGUAGAUACUCUAACUACUCUAACCGGGACCUGCCUAAUCCUAUAAAAUCCAUACAGGAGUAAAAAUUUCUAUCCCAUGUUGGAAAUAUGCCCUAGAGGCAAUAAUAAAAGCAUUAUUAUUAUAUUUCCUUGUUCAUGAUAAUUGUCUUUUAUUCAUGCUAUAAUUGUAUUAUCCAGAAAUCGUAAUACACGUGUGAAUACAUAGACCAUAACAUGUCCCUAGUGAGCCUCUAGUUGACUAGCUCGUUGGUCAACAGAUAUCAUGGUUUCCUGACUAUGGACAUUAGAUGUCAUUGACAACGGGAUCACAUCAUCAGGAGAAUGAUGUGAUGGACAAGACCCAAUCCUAAGCAUAGCACAAGAUCGUGUAGUUCGUUUUGCUAGAGCUUUUUCAAUGUCAAGUAUCUCUUCCUUAGACCAUGAGAUCGUGUAACUCCCGGAUACCGUAGGAGUGCUUUGGGUGUACCAAACGUCACAACGUAACUGGGUGACUAUAAAGGUGCACUACAGGUAUCUCCGAAAAUGUCUGUUGGGUUGACACGGAUCGAGACUGGGAUUUGUCACUCCGUAUGACGGAGAGGUAUCUCUGGGCCCACUCGGUAAUGCAUCAUCAUAAUGAGCUCAAAGUGACCAAGUGUUUGGUCACGGGAUCAUGCAUUACGGUACGAGUAAAGUGACUUGCCGGUAACGAGACUGAACGAGGUAUUGGGAUACCGACGAUCGAGUCUCGGGCAUGUAACGUACCGAAUGACAAAGGGAGUUGUAUACGGGGUUGUUCGAAUCCUCGACAUCGUGGUUCAUCUGAUGAGAUCAUCGAGGAGCAUGUGGGAGCCAACAUGGGUAUCCAGAUCCCGCUGUUGGUUAUUGCCCGAGAGCCGUCUCGGUCAUGUCUACGUGUCUCCCGAACCCGUAGGGUCUACACACUUAAGGUUCGGUGACGCUAGGGUUGUAUGAAUAUGAGUAUGCAGUAUACCGAAUGUUGUUCGGAGUCCCGGAUGAGAUCCCGAUCGUCACGAGGAGUUUCGGAAUGGUCCGGAGCUAAAGAAUUAUAUAUAGGAAGUGGUAUUUCGGCCAUCGAGAAAGUUUCGGGGUCACCCGGUAUUGUACCGGGACCACCGGAAGGGUCCCGGGGGUCCAUCGGGUGGGGCCACCCAUCCCGGAGGGCCCCAUGGGCUGAAGCGGGAGGGGAGCCAGCCCAUAGUGGGCUGGUGCGCCCCCUAGGCCCACCCCCUGCGCCUAGGGUUGAAACCCUAGGGUGGGGGGGGCGCACCACAUGCCUUGGGGGGCACUCCUCCCCCCUUGGCCGCCGCCCCCUUGGGAGAUUGAAUCUCCCAGGGCCGGUGCCCCCCCUGGGGGCCUAUAUAAAGGGAGGGGGGAGAGGGGCAGUCGCACCCUGAAGUUCUGGCACCCCCUCCCCCUGCUACACCUCUUCCUCCUUCGUCACAUGCUUGGCGAAGCCCUGCCGGAGUGCUGCUGUUCCACCACCACCACGCCGUUGUGCUGCUGCUGGAGCCAUCAUCAUCAACCUCUCCUUUCCCCUUGCUGGAUCAAGAAGGAGGAGACGUCAUCCGCUGCGUACGUGUGUUGAACUCGGAGGUGCCGUCCGUUCGGCGCUAGGAUCUCCGGUGAUAGGAUCACGACGAGAACGACUACUUCAACCCCGUUCUUUUGAACGCUUCCGCUCGCGAUCUACAAAGUGGUAUGUAGAUGCAUCUCCCUUGACUCGUUGCCUAGAUGAACUCAUAGAUGGAUCUUGGUGAAACCGUAGGAACAUUUUUAAUUUUCUGCAACGUUCCCCAACAGUGGCAUCAUGAGCUAGGUCUACGCGUAGUUCUCUAUUGCACGAGUAGAACACAAUUUAGUUGUGGGCGUAGAUCUUGUCAACUUGCUUGCCGCUACUAGUCUUAUCUUGCUUCAGCGGUAUUGUGGGAUGAAGCGGCCAGGCCAACCGCGACUAAAGGCCUUUGGGCACCUUUAGUCGCGGUUGGCCUGGCCAACCGCGACUAAAGCCCGCGAGCGCCCUGGGCCCAGGCAUUUGGUCGCGGUUCAUCUGCCGAACCGCGACUGAAGACUUCAUUAGUCGCGGUUCCUACAGUUUCGCGACUAAUGAGGCUGGACGGAAGCCUCUUUUUCUACUAGUGUACUAGUCUUUUCUUGCUUCAGCGGUAUUGUGGGAUGAAGCGGCCCGGACCGACCUUACACGUACGCUUACGUGAGACAGGUUCCACCGACUGACAUGCGCUAGUUGCAUAAGGUGGCUAGCGGGUGUCUGUCUCUCCUACUUUAGUUGGAGCGGAUUAGAUGAAAAGGGUCCUUAUGAAGGGUAAAUAGAAGUUGACAAAAUCACGUUGUGGUUAUUCGUAGGUAAGAAAACGUUCUUGCUAGAACCCAAUUGCAGCCACGUAAGAGAUGCAACAACAAUUAGAGGACGUCUAACUUGUUUUUGCAGCAAUUGUCAUGUGAUGUGAUAUGGCGAGAAGUUGUGAUGAAUGAUGAAUGAUAUAUUGUGAUGUAUGAGAUCAUGUUCUUGUAAUAGGAAUCACGACUUGCGUGUCGAUGAGUAUGACAACCGGUAGGAGCCAUAGGAGUUGUCUUUAUUUUGUAUGACCUGCGUGUCAUUGAAGAACGCCAUGUAAAUUACUUUACUUUGUUGCUAAACGCGUUAGCCAUAGAAGUAGAAGUAAUCGUUGGCGUGACAACUUCAUGAAGACACGAUGAUGGAGAUCAUGAUGAUGGAGAUCAUGGUGUCAUGCCGGUGACGAAGAUGAUCAUGGAGCCCCGAAGAUGGAGAUCGAAGGAGCUAUAUGAUAUUGGCCAUAUCAUGUCACUAUUAUAUAAUUGCAUGAGAUGUUUAUUAUGUUUAUGCAUCUUGUUUACUUAGAACGACGGUAGUAAAUAAGAUGAUCCCUUACAAAAAUUUCAAGAAGUGUUGCACCGUUGCUAAAGUUCGUCGUUUCGAAGCACCACGUGAUGAUCGGGUGUGAUAGAUCCUUACGUUCACAUACAACGGGUGUAAGACAAUUUUACACAUGCAAAACACUUAGGGUUAACUUGACGAGCCUAGCAUGUACAGACAUGGCCUCGGAGCACGGAGACCGAAAGGUCGAACACGAGUCGUAUGGAAGAUACGAUCAACAUGAGAAUGUUCACCGACGAUGACUAGUCCGUCUCACGUGAUGAUCGGACACGGCCUAGUCGACUCGGAUCGUGUAACACUUAGAUGACUAGAGGGAUGUCUAAUCUGAGUGGGAGUUCAUUAAAAUAAUUUGAUUAGAUGAACUUAAUUAUCAUGAACUUAGUCUAAAACUUUUUCCAUAAUAUGUCUUGUAGAUCAAAUGGCCAACGCUCAUGUCAACAUGAACUUCAACGCGUUCCUAGAGAAAACCAAGCUGAAAGAUGAUGACAACAACUAUACGGACUGGGUCCGAAACCUGAGGAUCAUCCUCAUAGCUGCCAGGAAACAAUAUGUCCUAGAAGGACCGCUAGGUGACGCUCCCGUCCCAGAGAACCAAGACAUUAUGAAUGCUUGGCAGUCUCGUGCUGAUGAUUACUCCCUCGUUCAGUGCGGCAUGCUUUACAGCUUAGAACCGGGGCUCCAAAAGCGUUUUGAGCAACACGGAGCAUAUGAGAUGUUCGAGGAGCUGAAACUAGUGUUCCAAGCUCAUGCCCGGGUCGAGAGAUAUGAAGUCUUCGACAAGUUCUAUAGUUGUAAGAUGGAGGAAAAUAGUUCUGUCAGUGAGCACAUACUCAAAAUGUCUGGGUUGCACAACCGCCUGUCCCAGCUAGACAUUAACCUCCCGGAUGAGGCGGUCAUUGACAGAAUCCUUCAGUCGCUCCCACCAAGCUACAAGAGCUUUGUGAUGAACUACAAUAUGCAGGGGAUGGUGAAGACCAUUCCUGAAGUAUUUUCAAUGCUAAAGUCAGCAGAGGUUGAAAUCAAGAAAGAACAUCAAGUGUUGAUGGUCAAUAAGACCACUAAGUUCAAGAAGGGCAAGGGUAAGAAGAACUUCAAGAAGGACGGCAGAGAUGUUGCCGCGCCCGGUAAGCCAGUUGCCGGGAAGAAGUCAAAGAAUGGACCCAAGCCUGAGACUGAGUGCUUUUAUUGCAAGGGGAAGGGUCACUGGAAGCGGAACUGCCCCAAAUACUUAGCGGAAAAGAAGGCCGGCAACACCAAAGGUAUAUUUGAUAUACAUGUAAUUGAUGUGUACCUUACCAGUACUCGUAGUAACUCCUGGGUAUUUGAUACCGGUGCCGUUGCUCAUAUUUGUAACUCACAGCAGGAGCUGCGGAAUAAGCGGAGACUGGCGAAGGACGAGGUGACGAUGCGCGUCGGGAAUGGUUCCGGAGUCGAUGUGAUCACCGUCGGCACGCUACCUCUACAUUUUCCUACGGGAUUAGUUUUGAACCUUAAUAAUUGUUAUUUGGUGCCAAGUUUGAGCAUGAACAUUGUAUCUGGAUCUCGUUUGAUACGAGAUGGCUACUCAUUUAAAUCCGAGAAUAAUGGUUGUUCUAUUUAUAUGAGAGAUAUGUUUUAUGGUCAUGCCCCGAUGGUCAAUGGUUUAUUCUUAAUGAAUCUCGAACGUAGUGUUACACAUAUUCAUAGCGUGAAUACCAAAAGAUGUAAAAUUGAUAACGAUAGUCCCACAUACUUGUGGCACUGCCGCCUUGGUCACAUUGGUGUCAAGCGCAUGAAGAAGCUCCAUGCUGAUGGAAUUUUAGAGUCUCUCGAUUAUGAAUCAUUUGACACAUGCGAACCAUGCCUCAUGGACAAAAUGACCAAGACUCCGUUCUCCGGAACAAUGGAGCGAGCAACCAACUUGUUGGAAAUCAUACAUACCGAUGUGUGCGGUCCAAUGAGUGUUGAUGCUCGCGGAGGAUAUCGUUAUGUUCUCACUCUCGCAGAUGACUUGAGUAGAUAUGGGUAUGUCUACUUGAUGAAACACAAGUCUGAGACCUUUGAUAAGUUCAAGGAAUUUCAGAAUGAAGUAGAGAAUCAAUGUGACCGAAAGAUAAAAUUCUUACGAUCGGAUCGUGUAGGAGAAUAUUUAAGUCACGAAUUUGGUACACACUUAAGAAAAUGUGGAAUCGUUUCACAACUCACGCCGCCUGGAACACCUCAGCGAAACGGUGUGUCCGAACGCCAUAAUCGCACUCUAUUGGAUAUGGUGCGAUCUAUGAUGUCUCUUACCGAUUUACCACUAUCAUUUUGGGGAUACGCUCUAGAGACAGCUACAUUCACUUUAAAUAGGGCACCGUCUAAAUCCGUUGUGACGACACCGUAUGAAUUAUGGUUUGGGAAGAAACCUAAGCUGUCGUUUCUAAAAGUUCGGGGAUGCGAUGCUUAUGUCAAGAAACUUCAACCUGAAAAGCUCGAACCCAAGUCGGAAAAAUGCGUCUUCAUAGGAUACCCUAAAGAAACCAUUGGGUAUACCUUCUACUUAAGAUCCGAGGGCAAGAUCUUUGUUGCCAAGAACGGAUCCUUUCUGGAAAGGGAGUUUCUCUCGAAAGAAGUAAGUGUGAGGAAAGUAGAACUCGAUGAAGUACUACCUCUUGAACGGGAAAGUAGUGCAGCUCAGGAAAAUGUUCUUGUGAUGCCUACACCAACUGAAGAGGAAAAUAAUGAUGAAGGUACUUCGGAUCAAGUUGCUACUGAACUUCGUAGGUCCACAAGGACACGUUCCGCACCAGAGUGGUACGGCAACCCUGUCUUGGAAAUCAUGUUGUUAGACAACGGUGAACCUUCGAACUAUGAAGAAGCGAUGGCGGGCCCAGAUUCCAACAAAUGGCUAGAAGCCAUGAAAUCCGAGAUAGAAUCCAUGUAUGAAAACAAAGUAUGGACUUUGACUGACUUGCCCGAUGAUCGGCGAGCGAUAGAAAACAAAUGGAUCUUUAAGAAGAAGACGGACGCGGAUGGUAAUGUCACCAUCUAUAAAGCUCGACUUGUCGCUAAGGGUUAUCGGCAAGUUCAAGGGAUUGACUACGAUGAGACUUUCUCUCCCGUAGCGAAGCUUAAGUCCGUCCGAAUCAUGUUAGCAAUUGCCGCAUACUAUGAUUAUGAGAUAUGGCAGAUGGACGUCAAAACGGCAUUCCUUAACGGGCACCUUAAGGAAGAACUGUAUAUGAUGCAGCCGGAGGGUUUUGUCAAUCCUAAGAAUGCUAACAAAGUAUGCAAGCUCCAGCGAUCCAUUUAUGGGCUGGUGCAAGCAUCUCGGAGUUGGAACAUUCGCUUUGAUGAAAUGAUCAAAGCGUUUGGGUUUAUGCAGACUUAUGGAGAAGCUUGCGUUUACAAGAAAGUGAGUGGGAGCUCUGUAGCAUUUCUCAUAUUAUAUGUAGAUGACAUACUUUUGAUGGGAAAUGAUAUAGAAUUCUUGGACAACAUUAAGGCCUACUUGAAUAAGUGUUUUUCAAUGAAGGACCUUGGAGAAGCUGCUUAUAUAUUAGGCAUCAAGAUCUAUAGAGAUAGAUCGAGACGCCUCAUAGGUCUUUCACAAAGCACAUACCUUGAUAAGAUUUUGAAGAAGUUCAAAAUGGAUCAGUCCAAGAAGGGGUUCUUACCUGUAUUACAAGGUGUGAGACUGAGCUCGGCUCAAUGCCCGACCACGGCAAAAGAUCAAGAAGAGAUGAGCGUCAUCCCCUAUGCCUCAGCCAUAGGAUCUAUUAUGUAUGCCAUGAUGUGUACCAGACCUGAUGUAAACCUUGCCGUAAGUUUGGUAGGAAGGUACCAAAGUAAUCCCGGCAAGAAACACUGGACAGCGGUCAAGAAUAUCCUAAAGUACCUAAAAAGGACGAAGGACAUGUUUCUCAUUUAUGGAGGUGACGAAGAGCUCGUCGUAAAGGGUUACGUCGAUGCUAGCUUCGAAACAGAUCUGGAUGAAUCUAAGUCACAAACCGGAUACGUGUAUAUGUUGAAUGGUGGAGCAGUAAGCUGGUGCAGCUGCAAGCAGAGCGUCGUGGCGGGAUCUACAUGUGAAGCGGAAUACAUGGCAGCCUCGGAGGCAGCGCAUGAAGCAAUUUGGGUGAAGGAGUUCAUCACCGACCUAGGAGUCAUACCCCAUGCGUCGGGGCCGAUCAAACUCUUCUGUGACAACACUGGAGCUAUUGCCCUUGCCAAGGAGCCCAGGUUUCACAAGAAGACCAGGCACAUCAAGCGUCGUUUCAACUCCAUCCGUGAAAAUGUUCAAGAUGGAGACAUAGAUAUUUGCAAAGUACAUACGGAUCUGAAUGUCGCAGAUCCGUUGACUAAACCUCUCUCGCGAGCAAAACAUGAUCAACACCAGAACUCUAUGGGUGUUCGAUUCAUCACAAUGUAACUAGAUUAUUGACUCUAGUGCAAGUGGGAGACUGUUGGAAAUAUGCCCUAAAGGCAAUAAUAAAAGCAUUAUUAUUAUAUUUCCUUGUUCAUGAUAAUUGUCUUUUAUUCAUGCUAUAAUUGUAUUAUCCGGAAAUCGUAAUACACGUGUGAAUACAUAGACCAUAACAUGUCCCUAGUGAGCCUCUAGUUGACUAGCUCGUUGGUCAACAGAUAGUCAUGGUUUCCUGACUAUGGACAUUAGAUGUCAUUGACAACGGGAUCACAUCAUUAGGAGAAUGAUGUGAUGGACAAGACCCAAUCCUAAGCAUAGCACAAGAUCGUGUAGUUCGUUUGCUAGAGCUUUUUCAAUGUCAAGUAUCUCUUCCUUAGACCAUGAGAUCGUGUAACUUCCGGAUACCGUAGGAGUGCUUUGGGUGUACCAAACGUCACAACGUAACUGGGUGACUAUAAAGGUGCACUACAGGUAUCUCCGAAAGUGUCUGUUGGGUUGACACGGAUCGAGACUGGGAUUUGUCACUCCGUAUGACGGAGAGGUAUCUCUAGGCCCACUCGGUAAUGCAUCAUCAUAAUGAGCUCAAAGUGACCAAGUGUUUGGUCACGGGAUCAUGCAUUACGGUACGAGUAAAGUGACUUGCCGGUAACGAGACUGAACGAGGUAUUGGGAUACCGACGAUCGAGUCUCGGGCAUGUAACGUACCGAAUGACAAAGGGAGUUGUAUACGGGGUUGUUCGAAUCCUCGACAUCGUGGUUCAUCUGAUGAGAUCAUCGAGGAGCAUGUGGGAGCCAACAUGGGUAUCCAGAUCCCGCUGUUGGUUAUUGCCCGAGAGCCGUCUCGGUCAUGUCUACGUGUCUCCCGAACCCGUAGGGUCUACACACUUAAGGUUCGGUGACGCUAGGGUUGUAUGAAUAUGAGUAUGCAGUAUACCGAAUGUUGUUCGGAGUCCCGGAUGAGAUCCCGAUCGUCACGAGGAGUUUCGGAAUGGUCCGGAGCUAAAGAAUUAUAUAUAGGAAGUGGUAUUUCGGCCAUCGAGAAAGUUUCGGGGUCACCCGGUAUUGUACCGGGACCACCGGAAGGGUCCCGGGGGUCCAUCGGGUGGGGCCACCCAUCCCGGAGGGCCCCAUGGGCUGAAGCGGGAGGGGAGCCAGCCCAUAGUGGGCUGGUGCGCCCCCUAGGCCCACCCCCUGCGCCUAGGGUUGAAACCCUAGGGUGGGGGGGCGCACCACAUGCCUUGGGGGGCACUCCUCCCCCCUUGGCCGCCGCCCCCUUGGGAGAUUGAAUCUCCCAGGGCCGGUGCCCCCCCUGGGGGCCUAUAUAAAGGGAGGGGGGAGAGGGGCAGUCGCACCCUGAAGUUCUGGCGCCCCCUCCCCCUGCUACACCUCUUCCUCCUUCGUCACAUGCUUGGCGAAGCCCUGCCGGAGUGCUGCUGUUCCACCACCACCACGCCGUUGUGCUGCUGCUGGAGCCAUCAUCAUCAACCUCUCCUUUCCCCUUGCUGGAUCAAGAAGGAGGAGACGUCAUCCGCUGCGUACGUGUGUUGAACUCGGAGGUGCCGUCCGUUCGGCGCUAGGAUCUCCGGUGAUAGGAUCACGACGAGAACGACUACUUCAACCCCGUUCUUUUGAACGCUUCCGCUCGCGAUCUACAAAGUGGUAUGUAGAUGCAUCUCCCUUGACUCGUUGCCUAGAUGAACUCAUAGAUGGAUCUUGGUGAAACCGUAGGAAAAUUUUUAAAUUUCUGCAACGUUCCCCAACGUCCCACAGUUUAUUCGACGCUUACGUUACUCCAUCUCCUGGCUCCUCCUCAAUCCUCACCGCCGGUGAAUCCUCCGUCGUUCACCGCCGCCCCCUCCUCCCCAAUGGCCGUAUCUCGUGGUCGUCGGUCCCCGCCGCCACUGCGAGGAUGUGGCCCCAUCCCACUAGCUCGCCGGCUUCCCCGAUCUCCCCGCCCCAUGGCAGCCACAGAGGAAGUACCUCAGCGUCCGUCAGCGGGCGUGGGCGACACAGAUGGCCAAGAUCACCCACAAGAAGCACUGGCUCGGGUCCUCCCAUACCAUCGAGCUCGCCACCCGCGAGUACGACCAGUGAAAGGUCCUGCUUCAUGUCGCCGAUGCCCAUCUCAACUCCCCAUGGGCGAAGAUGUCGCCGCUCGACGACCCAUCGCCGCCACGGGUGGCGACUGCGACGGCGGCUCGGGAAGACCGGGAGGCGAGGGAGCGGGUCAUGGUGGAGGCCGCCGAUGAGGAGUACAUGGCGGACCUCCACCGCAAAUACCCUGAGCUGGUGGAGGCGAAGCGCAAGAUCUUCGUGGAGUGCACGAUCGGCGAUGGGGGGGGGGGAGGUCAUCGUCCUAGCAAGCGAUGAGGAGGACGGGGCAACGGAGGCGGCGCUGAUGACGACUUCAACGGUGAAGAAUGGCGGAGGAUCUUCCCCGAAACCGGCGAUGACUGCACUUGACCCUAUGGGAGGUGGAAUUUCUAGGGUGAGAGUGGCUCGCCCUUGCAAAGUGCGAUUAGUGUGGUUUUAGUUUGACUAUGCUCGAUUGUUAUUAAUGUAAAUUAUGUGUUGAAUUAGGUUAUGCUUCGGUGGUUGUUUAAAUUAGACCAUGCGUCGGUGGAUGUUUAAAAUUGAAUCUUUAUCUUUUUUCCCUUUAAAUUUAAGGAAUCGACCAAAUUUUAGUGGAGUACAUAUACUCUAUUAAGUUAACUCCGCUGUUUUCCUCCUCUAUUCUUAAGGGAACAGCUAGAGUUGGCCUUAGCUGGCGACCUGGUGUAGUCGACAAGAAAUACCAAUGCGCAUAUGCAUUUUCGCGACAAGUAAUUCCGGGCGGAGGGAGUACUAAGCAAGAACCGCAUAAAACAGCUGCUUAAGAAUAGAAAAAAAAUGGUAACUAACAAUGUCAUAUGACACGUAUUUUUUGCGUGAGGUAACACACCAGAAUUUAAGACAAGCAGAAGGAAACAAGAAGUAAAUAGUAUUCCUCGGUUUUUUACUUCACAUACUAUUAGUUUGUCCAAGAUUUUGCACAGCAUCCGUUUGGCAGCUUUGAACGUUAUUUUUGUCUAAAUAUAUGUCAUAUGAUUAGAAACAUUAAUAGGAUGGAACUAUUUUCAAAAAUCUGAAUAGCUUAAUGUUAAGAACAACCGUAGAACAAGCAACUCAACAGCAAAAAAAAAUUCUAAAGUCAUGCAUGUCGUUUGGAAUGAACAUAUUAAGAUAUUAUCUUAGCUCAUAUGAGGCUUAAUUUCUCUUAAAUUGGUGACGUACAGUCGUACAGUACAAAGAUUAUAAUACAUGAACAACGUAAUUUUUGGCUGAAAUUCUAUCUUAAUUUUGUCAUAGUAUAUAUUUUUGCAAAAAAAAAUACAUUUGUCCGGUAUACGCCCGGACCUACUCUGGCAACCGAAUUAAUUAAACUAGAAUUAGUACUCCAUUGCACAGGCUCAUGGUAGUCAAUGCCGCCCUACAGAUUAGUCCACCCCCAUCCGUGGUUAACAGCAGCUAGUGGAGUUUAACUAGUGUUCUCAAACCCUGAGAUUGGUCGAUCACAUGCAUGGACAUGCACGUACCGAUGCACGUGUGAUGCCCCAAAACAUUCAGCUAACCUACGUACGGCUGAUGACUGAUCAAGUAGAUUAAAUAUAGCUGGCAUGCAGAAUCAACCAUCAGAUGGAACAAUUAGCAGCAGCUAACGCCAAAUCGGUUGCCCCGAGGAAAGGGGAAGGAGAUCGCUGCUCAAAAAGCUGUCACCUAAAAAGGCCUCGAGAUCGCUAUAAUUAACAAUGUUGUUUUCUUUUAGGCGCUAAGCACGAGAGACAUGCAUGUUUGUUAAUCCACAGAGAGCAUCUUUUGAGAUCGUCCGAUGGCUGAUCGCUCUUUGCACCCUGUUGCUCAGUACAAGUACUGCUCGAGUAUAGUACUCCGAACAGAGAUAUUAGCAGCAUUAACAUUAAUCCAUUUAAAAACGAGAAAAAACUUUAUUUAGUCAGUUUUUUAAAUGUGCAUUCCUAUUUCUCGUCAAGAAAAAAAAUGUUCCCUAUCUGUCACUAGUUGUAAAUUUUGUUCUAUAUGUGGCACUUUCAUCCAUUUUAGGCUGUUAAGUGUGCCAUGAAAAGUCUGUUCUAUUAUUUUAGCCACUUAGUAGUAUUUUGUUUGCUAGAAAAGGUUAAUAGUAUUGUGAAAGUGCUGUGGGGAGAUUUCACUAGUAUAGAUUCUCCAGCGAAUGCCAUGAGUUCUUUAAGCUAGUAUGUCCAUCGAAAUUCCUAGGGCACCGAAAAACCAUUGCAGAUUUUUCAUGUUUUAUUUACUGCGCGNNNNNNNNNNNNNNNNNNNNNNNNNNNNNNNNNNNNNNNNNNNNNNNNNNNNNNNNNNNNNNNNNNNNNNNNNNNNNNNNNNNNNNNNNNNNNNNNNNNNNNNNNNNNNNNNNNNNNNNNNNNNNNNNNNNNNNNNNNNNNNNNNNNNNNNNNNNNNNNNNNNNNNNNNNNNNNNNNNNNNNNNNNNNNNNNNNNNNNNNNNNNNNNNNNNNNNNNNNNNNNNNNNNNNNNNNNNNNNNNNNNNNNNNNNNNNNNNNNNNNNNNNNNNNNNNNNNNNNNNNNNNNNNNNNNNNNNNNNNNNNNNNNNNNNNNNNNNNNNNNNNNNNNNNNNNNNNNNNNNNNNNNNNNNNNNNNNNNNNNNNNNNNNNNNNNNNNNNNNNNNNNNNNNNNNNNNNNNNNNNNNNNNNNNNNNNNNNNNNNNNNNNNNNNNNNNNNNNNNNNNNNNNNNNNNNNNNNNNNNNNNNNNNNNNNNNNNNNNNNNNNNNNNNNNNNNNNNNNNNNNNNNNNNNNNNNNNNNNNNNNNNNNNNNNNNNNNNNNNNNNNNNNNNNNNNNNNNNNNNNNNNNNNNNNNNNNNNNNNNNNNNNNNNNNNNNNNNNNNNNNNNNNNNNNNNNNNNNNNNNNNNNNNNNNNNNNNNNNNNNNNNNNNNNNNNNNNNNNNNNNNNNNNNNNNNNNNNNNNNNNNNNNNNNNNNNNNCAAAUUUCUCCUUAUAAGUCUGGGCGGACAACCCGGUCAGUGUCCGGACAAGAGAUAGAAAGAAAAAGCCAUACAACCGAACCCUUAUAUUGUCCUCAUAUGUCCGGGUUGUCCGAGAACUCUCAUAUCCAACCCUUAUAUGGGGAGGAUAUGAGGGUGUUCCGGUGUGUUCGGGGUAUUCCGCCAGGUUAGGAUUUGGACCACCCCGAACCACUUUCUGUCCUUUUAAACAAAUCUCUUCAUCGGCACCAAUCAUAUGAAUGUGGCUGUAUAUAUAGGGAGAAACGAAGAGGGCAUGGAUGCAUGCGUGCACAAAUGAGGGCUUGGAGGAGACACACCAGGAUAGCAUCUGAAAGUAACCGCGAACGUACGUAUGGGGGGUUUGAUUUACCCAGUCUGAUUGUAGAUGUUAUAAAGAAGGCCAGACUUCUGUCUAUCCCACCUUUCAGGUGACCCUCAGAUUUCUGUUUGUGAUAAUAUGAGAAGUGCAUGCAGUACGGUGGCCCCAUUGUGAUUCUUUUGUCUUUCUAAGAUAACAAUGGCGCCUAAAUAUAAUUUGUAUAUGUAAUUAACAAAAGUAAUAUUAUUGAAAACCUCUUUCAAACACGACUCUACUAAUAUAUUUUUAUAACAUAGAACUUGUAUUUUGUUAGUCAAAUCUAAGGUAGCGCAACUAAAAAGCUGAGGCGUCCUUUGGUUUAUAGGACAGGAUUAUCGUAGGAACAGAAAACUUGUAGGAAAUGAGAUGACAUGUGUCCUAUAUAGUAUGAACAUGAUUAUUGAAAGAGAUGUCAUUUGGUUCACAUCAUAGAUACUUUUUCAUUAAGUCUAGGUUCAUGUUUGUUUUCCUUUGAAAUGUAGAUGAUAGAAAUCAAUCCUAUGGGAAAAUAGAAAUGCAUUUCUAUGAACCAAAGAACUCUAAAGAAAAAGUCCAUACAAAAAUCAUAUCCUAUAGAAUUUCUGUGAAAUUCCUUCAAACCAAAGGAGCCUUGAGAGGGUUAUAAUAAAAGUGAAGUGAGGAAGUACGUAGAUUAGUGCUAGGCUGCUAGCUAUACUACUAAGUGCAGUGCUAGGGAUCCGAAGCGUGCCUACUGAGGGGGUUUGUUUCCAGAGACUUUUUGAUGUAGGGACUAGAAAAAGUCUCUGUUAGAGACAUUUUAACCAAACAGGAGGGACUGCUAGGGACUAAAAGUUGAUUUUUGGGACUAAAUGAAGAAGACUCUCAAGGAGAGUCUUUUUUGAGACUUUUCCAACAAUGCCCCUCCCUGCACCCAUUGCCCCGCCAUCUCAUAAUGUUGUUUGGUUGUUAUUUUUCCGUAUACUAGGGGUAACAUGGUCAUUUAACAACCUUUAGUGAGGAACUAGGGACUUUUUAGUCCAUGAAAACAAACAGAAAGAGACUUUUUAGGCAUUAGAAACUUUUUAGUUGAGACUAGAAAAAAUCUUAGGACUUACGAACCAAACAGGGCUCGCGUGUUGGCCAGGGAGUAGGCAAGCACAGAGGAUCGGGAAGGGUCUCAGUGGCCUUGAGAGAAGCGAGACAUGCUCCUCCUCCUGCUGCUGAUCUGCAUUUGCCUUGACCGUGGUGUCUGUCCGUCUCUCUGUCGGCACCAACCUCGAACGCUACACUCCUGCAUGCUACUACGACUAGUAUACGGAUAUUCCUACGCCACCCAACGUACUGCGUAUACAUACACACACGCUGUCAUCGCCACGUCACCAUCAUGCUCCACCGGCGGGUCGACAGGAGGCCCCACACGCCAGGGCCACCCUGUCGCGCAGCUCAUGCAAAACGGAUUCUCGUUGCGGACUGGGGUCUGGGGUGCAAGGGCAGAUUCGUAGUCGUAUAGGUAGGGGCUAGUACGUAGGCCACAGCACACACAGGCGUACUCGCGUAGACUGCAGUGUACUGUACUGUACUGUGGAGUACAGACGUGUGGGGGCGUAUCUACCCAUCCAGUGCAACGGUCGUUUGGUUUGACCGCCAACUCGAAGACUGUAGACUGUACUAGUACGAGGGAAGAAGGACCCGGGGCUGGAUUUUUUUUAGCUGCAGUGGCGCGGGCUUCACUCAUGGGCUGUCGCAGCAUGGGCUUCUGGGCCUGCAUUGGUCUGUAAGGCGGUUGACUUACACUUGCUACUGAAAAGCAGCAACAGGGCUGGAUUAGCCAAGAAAUGUGCUUGAUCUCCCAAAAAAAGCGAAGAAAUGAGCCUUAAGCCCAAUAAGGCCCGAGUGUCAAAUCGAAUUUACACUGAAAAUGGUGGUGUUUUGUCAAAAAAAAAAUGAUGGUGUACCACAGGUGAGGGGUCUCGGGUAUUCUAAAAAAAAGGUGAGGGGUCUCAGGAAAAACAAACAUGUUUCCCUCAUAAAGGAAAAAAAGGAGUUUGUAUGAACUGGCGCUGAGUCAACUGCGGCACCGCGUCCACUCUGCUCUGGUGGAACUGCCCUCACGGACCCAAGGUACGCAUACACCCUCGGACAUGUAUGUAUCCAGCUGUAAACAAUUGUUGAAUGAAUACAGUGCGUGAUGUGUGCGCGGGGGAGCGGGGAUGCCCCUGCCCACCAACACGACAUGUACUAGCAGUGGCGGAGCUAUGUGUAGUGUUGAGGGGGCCUCUNNNNNNNNNNNNNNNNNNNNNNNNNNNNNNNNNNNNNNNNNNNNNNNNNNNNNNNNNNNNNNNNNNNNNNNNNNNNNNNNNNNNNNNNNNNNNNNNNNNNNNNNNNNNNNNNNNNNNNNNNNNNNNNNNNNNNNNNNNNNNNNNNNNNNNNNNNNNNNNNNNNNNNNNNNNNNNNNNNNNNNNNNNNNNNNNNNNNNNNNNNNNNNNNNNNNNNNNNNNNNNNNNNNNNNNNNNNNNNNNNNNNNNNNNNNNNNNNNNNNNNNNNNNNNNNNNNNNNNNNNNNNNNNNNNNNNNNNNNNNNNNNNNNNNNNNNNNNNNNNNNNNNNNNNNNNNNNNNNNNNNNNNNNNNNNNNNNNNNNNNNNNNNNNNNNNNNNNNNNNNNNNNNNNNNNNNNNNNNNNNNNNNNNNNNNNNNNNNNNNNNNNNNNNNNNNNNNNAUUGAUGAUAAUAAGGUACAUGUAUUCAACCGUAAACAAUUAUUGAAUAAAUAUUCUGUGGGGAUGUGUAGGAGGGAGGGAGUAGGUGUCAAGUGCUUAGGAGAUAGAUCCAUGUUUGGUUUCCUUUCCAUCAAGAUCAACAUUCCGGACAGUUAGUUUGUAGAGUAAAUAAAAUCAUACAGUACGUAACUUAAGAAUAGUUACUCAACUCCAUUGUCUCUUGAAAGUUUUAAGACAGAGGGUGAUAUUAGAUAAUGAUGUGGUGAGAACCAAUAGAGUUUCACAAGAAAGAACAUAUCAUAGAAAAAUUCCACUGUCCACCAUAAGGCCGUAUUUUGAACGUGGAAUUGUAAAAACAUAAGAAACUGCAUUCAUGGAAAGUCGUGUCUUGAAAAUUUGUACAUAAAUCUAAAACGUAGGAAUCAUGUGACAGAGUUGUUUAUAUACUGCACUGAAAAUUUGCAGAAAAUUAUUUAGAGAGAGAGAGAGAGAGAGAGAGAGAGAGAGAGAGAACGUAAGGUCUGAGCAAUGGUUAAGAAUCAUCCAAAAUGUGAAUUAAAGGACGAAUUCACAUAGGAACUCUCAAAGCCAAUCCUACAACCCAAAUGACACAAAGGAAAAUGUCCUAUAGAAUUCCAUUCCUAUGAUAUUCAUGUAAAUUUCACCCGCUAUGCAUGUAAUUCCUGUAAAACUGACCACAUAGCUAAUUCCAAGGCAGAAUGGAGCCUAAAAAUUGGAUUGACUCACUUUAAAUAAAUAAAAUCUCCCAAUCUCUUUUCGGCUCAUUUCACCCGCUAAAAUUACCAUAUGGUGUUGGAACACUUUACUACCUAACAAUUUCUUGAAUGACUAAAUUGCGCCUAGUAACUUCAAAGGUUUGUAUGAGGUCUAUGUACAAGUUAUUGGCAUUUUUAUUUUGCACUAGUCAUAUUAUAAGACAAAAAAGUUAAACAACAUAUACAACAUAGUAGAAAAAAGAGAGCGAGAUUUGACAUUUGCGGCGAAGAAACUGACCAGGGUUUUAGCGCUCCACAACACAUAAACAAAGCACAGCCCCAUUUGGAACAUAGGAAUUUCAUGGGAAUGGGAUCCUAUAGGAAUUGUGUUGUGGUGCCCUUUGAAUUAAGAAUGGCUUUUGAAAUUCUCAUAGGUAUCCUUCACAUUGGAUAAUUAUGAACAUUUUUUAUUUUUUAUGUUUUUACAUUAUUUGAAAAGUACAAUCCAACAUGUGUCUUUGUCUCUCUUCCUCUGUUUUUUUGGGCGAUGCCCUCUAUCUCUCCUUAAGUAAUACUCCCUCAAGAUUUCCAUUGAGCAUCCAGGCAACUAUGCUACAGAAAAUUAUGUAUUUUAGAUUCUUAUGAAAGUUUACACGACAUGCUUCCAAUUUCUGCAGUAUGGGAGCGGCGACAAUGAUGCGUCGGCGGCUCGUUCCGGCGGCCCUGGGAAGGCAAGCACUGCCCUGAAAGAAGAGAAAAACAGUACGUAUCACAGAUGUGUCUCAUUCGGCUGAAAUGCAGUUACGACGAUCCUGCGCGUGCGUAGAGAUGAGCACUGCCCUUCGUCACAGUCUGGCUCGGAAAGCGACCGCGUGCAGCUCCGGCCGGCCGGCGACGUCAUGCAUGCGCAUACGGCGGCCUGCGCGCGUACUUGGCGCGUCGUGUCGAGCAGGCGGAGGCGCCGGCCGCCGGGAGCCCUGCAUGCCCACCGGUGGGCGGUACGCACUAGGCGACUGAGUCGGCCCGAUGAAUGUCCGUGCCCUCGCAGUACCUGCACGUACCUGGAUUGCUCGCGACUGAUCAAUGGCGGUGUGCAACAGUGGCGCACUUCGAAGAUUAAAGGGACGUACGUGGUACAUCCAUGAGACGUCGCGACACCAACGUGCACCUAGUACGUGCCGCUACAAAGUCGUCGUGCUGGCAGGUAGACUAGACGCUGCUGUACUAUGCAUCCCUUAACAGAACCACUGUGCUGCUGUAGUACGCAUCCCUUAACUGAACCACUGUGCUGUGCUGCUGUCGUGCCUGCCUGCUCAUCGGGCAGGAGGCCGGUGUACAUUUCACAUGAUAAAAAGUGUUGGCGGCUCAUGUGUGUCGACUCCUAGUUGGUCAAAGAGAAUGGCUUGUCGCGUGAUUAGCCAUUAGUAUUUACCUACCUAGUUGUUAGCAAAUUUCCAACAAAAAUGACUGCCACUCUUUUUUCCUUUUUUAUUACUGGAGAAGCAAGGCUGCUGCGGUCGUAUGAUUAGAAAUCAAAGGAAGAAGUGUAUAGCUAGCCAGCAUCAAAAGGAAGAAAAAGACCAAAGGAAAGGAGCAAACCAGAUGAAAAUGAGUGAUGCUGCGCUGCAGGAGCGGCGAAAGUAGACAGGAAAGAGACUGGAAACAGAAUUACAUCCAGCCUUGCAUCUACGUUGCCUCAAGAGCUGCUUUGCUCUCUUUUUCUCCGGUUUUUCGUCGGCAUCGGCCGGCUUUCUUCCCUUUCGGAGCCGCGCGGCCCUCCACGCGUCGAAUCCAUCAUAAACCAUGUAUAUGUACUCCUCCUACUGCCAUACAGUACAUGCAUGAUGCAUGCAUUCAUGUACAGUAGUGCAUGUGCCUACAUCGAGGUGCUCGUGUACGUACGUCGACGGCAAGAACACAACACGGAUAUGUAUGGAAAUGCAUACAUGGAGCUUUCUUCCCUUGCUUUCGAUCUCCUCGAGUCAAAGAAGGGAAAGAGACCGGCUUAGGCAUGCACGGAUUGAUCGAUGCAGUGCGUGCAUCGGUGAUCAUGCAAACUUGUCCAUGACCUUGGCCUUGGGUAGAGCUGUAGCUUAUAGCUGGGGUAUUUAAUUUUAUUUUGAAACGAGUCACAAGACUUGCCAUUUUAUUAAAUAAGGAGAACGUGUUACAUAGUCCGAAGACACGAGCCACAGAGUGGCGAAAAUAAGACAACUACUCGCGAGGCAAAAUUACAUCCAGCCCCUUGGCAUCCGCUGAUGCCCACAACCUUGCCUCUUAAAAGGAUCUUGUCCACGAUGAUGAACGAAGGUGUGGGGAUGUUCCAGAAGACCCUGGCGUUCCUUUCCUUUCAAAUUGAAAGUUCCCAUGAAAUUAGCAUGAGGAGGGCAGGCCGAGCCUUUACGAUUUGUCGAGCGUGCAAGGGCAAGCAUGUUCCACCAGUCUUUUACACUGACCAUAGCCACCCAAGCACUUGCUAAAACCGUGUUCCACACCGCAGUUGAAAAACGGCGCUGGAAGUGCAAAUGAGCCGCAGUUUCCUGAACAUGGCCGCAAAGUGGGCGGAAACCGCAAUUUGGCCAUCCCUACGCUGAAGCCUAUCAGCCCUCCACACCCUAUUGUGAAUAACUAACCAAGCAAAAAAAUGCAUUUUGCAGUAACCCACACCUUGCAGACAGUCUUAAGCAGAGGCAUGAUGGACGCGCCCCUCGAAUUGCAUCUUGUAGGCCGAGGACAUCGAGUAGGUACCAUUCUCCAUAAACUUCCAAGUGAUCAUAUAUUUCCUGUUGUGGUCCGGAUUCACCGCAUCCAACUUUUCCCAAAGAGCGGCGAACACCUGAAUGUGAGCAGAAGAAAUGUCGUCUGCCAAAUUAAUCUGGGAAACCCAAAAGUUACCAGUGAGGGCCUUCCGCGAUGAGCAACCUCUCCUGUUCAAAAUCUCAAAAAUUAUGGGUGCAAUGUCCAUACACCCCAGCCCAUUAAGCCAAGGUGACUUCCAAAAGCAAGCCUUAGCGCCAUCACCAACCUUCACCAUCGUUGCCGCCACGAAAGAUCUCCAUCAGCAUCAUCGCAAGGGGUGCCCGGCCCAAUCCACGGCUUAGGCUGUUCGGACCAUUCAAACCAGAGCCAUCUUACACGAAAAACAGUUGCAAACCUGCACAGGUUCAGGACACCCAUCCCACCCAUGAUCUUCAACCAACAAACACGCUCCCAAUUGAUCUUGCACUUGCCUCGAGACCGAUAGGGGCAGCCCAAGGUAUGUCAAAAGGAAAGGAGUGAGCUUUGCUGGGAAGUGAUACAAAAUGUCAUGGAGAUCAAGGCCAACGUAUGGGAGCCACGGGGCUUUUAGUGCAAUUAGUGACGAAGCUUGUGACCUCUCCAAAAGUGUCAAGGGUGGAGAUGAAGUAGCCAACAUCCUUUUUUUUGCGGCAAAGCAAAUAUCCUAUUUGAUGGGCUUAAUAAAAAUAGCGGCAUCAUCAGCAUACAGAGAGGCACGAAGGGUUGUGGUAUUUGCAUGGAGCGGCUGCAGAUUGCCUUAGCUUGUGGCCUUGCUCAUGAUGUGGUGCAAAGGAUCGAUGGCGAGCACAAAUAGAACAAUGGGUCCCCUUGCUGUAAUCCCUUUCCAUGAUGUAUAGGGUCUCCAACAGUGCCAUUUAGCAAGACUCUUGAGGAAGCCGGUGAAAGGAGUGUGGAGACCCAACCUCGGAAAUGUGUCGGGAAGCCGAGAUGCUGUGGGACAUCCAUUAAGUAGUCCCAACGAACCGAGUCAAAGGCUUUCUUGAUAUCGAGCUUGAAGAGCAACUUGGGGGUUUUACUCAUGUGGAAUCUUCUAGCCAGGUUGCGAACAUAAGUGAAGUUGUCGUGAAUACUUUUUUUAUGAAAGCACUUUGGCUUGUGAAAUAAGUUCAUCCAUAUAAACCAAGAGGCGGGACACCAUCAUCUUGGCAAUAAGCUUAGCGACGGCAUGGAUCAAACUGAUAGUCCUAAAUUCAGAAAUAUCUUCAGAACCAUCUUUCCUAGGAAUGAACAUUAUGUUGGCGGACUUCAGCCAAUGGAAGUUUGAGGCAUGGAGAUCGGAGAAGUGGUAAAUGGUGGCCAUGAUAUCCACCUUGAUAAUAUCCCAGCAUGCUCUGAAGAACGCACCCGUGAACCCGUCCGGCCCUGGUGCCUUGUCAUUUGGAGAAUCAAACACAGCACGCCUAGCUUCAUCCAUGCCGAAAGGGGUGCCAAGAUCAGCGGGAUCACAUUCUGGGUUGGGAACACAAUUCCAAUUAAUAUCCCUUUGUCAUCAAGGACCCUUAUUGAUGACAGAGGAGAAGUGACUGUGGAUGAUGGCCUUCUUGUGAUCAUGAUCAGUCACCCAACCCGCAUUGUGCUUAAGAUGGUGGAUAAUUCCUUCUCCCGCAGUUAAUUCUCAGGUGGAAGAAUCUAGUGUUUGCAUCGGCCUCUUUGAUGUUAGUGAUCCUAGAGUUCUGCCGCUUCCUAGCCUUCUCAAGUACAGCCAAGCCAACUACUCGUCGCUUAAGCCUCUUCCGAAGGUCAAGUUCAUCCGUGCUCAAGGAUCGAGAUUAUUGCGCGGUAUCAAGGCGGAGGAUGAUCUCCCGAGCCAUAUGCAACUGAACUUUCACAUUGGAGAAAAGAGUUUUGCUCAAAGCCUUUAACUUGAUGCUAGUUUUCUUGAGUCUAUGGUGAAUAACAUGCUAGGGCUCGACAUGGUUGUGAUCUUCAUUCCAUGCCUCUUGGAUGAUUGCCAAAAAACCGGGCAUCUUAAUCCAGAAGUUCUCGAAGUAGAAGCACUUGGAUCGCUUAGGGCCAUUUCCAUUUGUGAGUAGAAGAGGACAGUGGUCAGAUAGGGAAGAUGAGAGUGCAUGCAGAAUGUGAGAACCAAACUACAUAUCCCAUUCCUCAUUGCAAAAGAAGCUAUCCAACAUGCUCAAGAUGGGGUCACUCUGGCCAUUUCUCCAAGUGAAUCUUCUGUUUUGAAGAUGAAUCUCUUUUAGCUCAUAGGUGUUCAACGCAUUUCUAAACCGGACAAUGCAGCUUCGAUCAUGUUAGCGCGGUUCUUAUCCCUUGCCCGAUAAAUUUGGUUGAAGUCUCCCGUGACCAGCCAAGGAACCCGGGAGUGUUUUUUCAGAGACGAACUCGCUGAAGAAACCAUCCUUGAGGUUGCCUCUAGUCGGACCAUAGACGGCCGUGAGCUUGAAGGAGGUGGUGUUAUGGUUUUGUGAACGCAAGGAAACAACGGUCGAGAGGGUAAAAGACCCAGAUAGCACAUUGGAGAGUUGAACCGCUUCAUCAUCCCACAGUAGGAGGAUACCGCCACGGGUCCUGGCAGCCGGGCGUUGGGCAAAGUUUUUUAACUCUUUGGCCUCCAAUGUGAGCAGCAGUGUAGGGGUUGACGUUUCCCAUUUUGGACUCCUGCAGACAAACAAUGUGACAAGGGGUAGCGGCGAUAGUCUCAUGGAACGUUGAGCGACGGUCCAGGCAAUUUAGACCUCGAAUGUUGCAGUUCAGAAUUGCAAGGUUGUGCUCUGUCAUUUGGAAACUGAGCAAGCAUCAUUGUUUACAUAGCCAAACUGGCAGGAACAACAGCUAGGAAGUACUACUCUAAUAGAACAACCGCACACACCCACACACGGCCUCGCCAUGGCCACAACUAGCUGCCACAACACACACCAGCAAACCGGCAUACAGACUACUCUAACCCACCGCCUUGCUAGGGCAUCAGCCAGCUCCGAUAGGCUGCAGCUGCUGAACAGGGUGGUUUAACUAACAUGAUGCACAAUGGAAACAACAGUUCAGCACUAGCUAGAAGCGAUUCAAAUAGUAAUGUUGUUUCACACAACCAAAUCUCACUGAAAUAAUUCCUACAGCCAGGGACGCGUCUAGUCAGUGUCCACAAGGGACUAAUGGACUCCUUCCGCUUCUUUUUACUCCAUAUAUAAAUUUGUUUGAAGUCAAACUGCGCAAAGUUUAACAAAAUUCAUAUUAAAUUAUCAACAUCUAUAAUACUCUUUCUAGUCCUUUUUAGUCAGAAUGGAAUUUUCUUGGAAGUUAAAAUAUCUCUACUUUGACCAAACUUAUAUAAAAGUAGCAAUACUCACAACGCCAAAACAAUACUUUUGGGUUCAUUAUGAAAUGUAGUUUCAUGGUAUAUAUAUUUGGUAUUGUAGAUGUUGAUAUUUUUUUAAUAUAAAUUUGGUCAAAUUUUACAAAGUUUGACUGGACACUAAUCUAAUAAGCAGAGUGAAAAGGACCGGAGCGAGUACUAAAGUUAUAUAGUCUGAAAAUUAACUCCAUGAUGCAUCUAAUGACAUUGAUUUUAUAUUCUAAGUGUUAAUAUUUUUUCUAUAAAGUUGGUCAAACAUAUACCACGUUACACAUGCGGCCAAACUAUUUGGAAAAAAAAAAGAAUGGUCAAACACAUGAAGUUUGACUUGAGAAAUUUUUUAUUUGGACUAAAAAAAUGGAGGGAGCAUAAUCUCUAGUUGUAUACUGGUGUUGGGGAUCUGAAGCAUGCCUACUGCCUAAGUCUUGGCGAGGGCAGUAGGCAAGCACAGAGGAUCGUGGAGGGUCUGAGUGACCUCGAGAGAAGCGAGACAUCUCCUGCUGAGGGCAUCUCCAGCCGUUGGCCUUCCAGGAGGGGUAAAAAAUCGCUCCGUAGGGGCGCACCGGCGCUAAACCGCGCACUGGGCGCGUGAUGCCCCCCAGUCGCGGCGCCCACGGUUAGUCAAAAAAGUCAAACACGGCGCAAAAACGACUCAAAUUUAACGCAAACAUCGGCGAGUUCGUUCAAACUUAAACAUAUUUUACAAAAAAAGAAAAAUAAACUACCGCGGGCUACCCCGCCGUCUCCCUCGCCGCCCGCCGUCUUCCUCGCCGCCCGCCCACGCGGUUCUACAUGCCGAGGAGGCGGUAGAACCGCGUGUAGUCACCGCCGUCGUCGUCAUCAUCGUCGUCGCCGCCUCCGCCGUCCCUGCUGCAUCCCUCCCCCGGUUGGCGCGGCGGGUUGGAUGGUCCGGGGGCGUCGUCGUCGUCGUCGUCGCUGUCGAGGACCACGACGCCGUGCUCGUCCUCGCGCCCACGCUUGCGGGCGGCGAUCUCCUCCAGGGCCCGGCGCUGCCGGACCAUCUCAUCGCGGAGGUAGUCGUCCCGCGCCCACCGCAUGGCGUCCUCGUCGGAGAAGCCGCACCGGGCUAUCUCCUCGUACUCCGCGGGGAGGACGAGCUCCGGCUUGGGCUCGGCGAGGACGAAGCGGCUGGUGGGUGGAGAGGCGUUGGCGCCGCCGGAGCUGCGGGUGCGCGCGCUGACCGGCGUGUCCUGGGGCUCCGGCUUGACGGGGCGGAGGCAGGGCGAGCCGCCGGACGAGCAGGAGGACCCCCCGGUCUCCAUGCGCCUCGGGGUCCAGGAGCUUCCCCGGCGGCGUGAGAAGGAAGGGGGGGCGGGGUAAUCGAGGCGCGGCGUCCGCCCUCGAUGUACUCGAGGACGGCCUCCAACGUGCGCCCGGGCACGCCCCACCACAGACGCCGGCCGGCGGCGUUGAGCCUGCCGAAGGGCACGACGCCGUUGGUGGCCUCGAACUGCUCGGCCUGACGGCGGCGGAAGUAAGGUUCCCAGAGCGGGCUGUCGGGGGCGUACCGUGGCCCCUCCCUCGCCGCACGCGGCAGGUUCGAGCGGAUGCGUGCGAUCUCCGCACGCCGCGCUGCGCCGGUCGGUACCGGGGGCACCGGCACGCCGCCCGCGCUGAUCCUCCACGUCCCGGGCACCCGCAUGUCCGGCGGGACCGGGUACUCGGCCUCGUAAAGGAGGCGAGCCUCGUCUUCGUGAAGAUGGCGGCGGCCGAAGCCGUUCGCCGCCGCGCCGUCGCCUGGGAAACGCUCGGCCAUGGGUGUGAACUGGGGACGGCGAAAGAGAGGAGAGGAGAGGGAGGAACGACGGCGGCGGAGAGUGUGAGUCGCCGAGUGCGCCGGGGCACUUCAUAUAUAGGCCAAGACGCGCGUGUCACCGUGUGUACGCGUGGCGGGCGAGGGAGGGCGAGGGACGCGCGUCGUCCGGUCUUCACUGCGCCGCCCGUGAGGCAUCAAUGGUGCAGGCUGACCGGCGCGGCAGCUUUGGCAUUGAUUCGCCGCGGGAAACGAGGCGAUGAGGACGACGAAGGGCCGAGAAGAGAGCCGUGUCGCUGACGCGGCGGGCCCGCGGCUUUUUCGCGCCAAAACAGUUCGCCCGGCGCCCCCGUGCGCUCCCCAGCGCGCCGGGUUCGGGCUGGGUCCGCCGGCGCUGUUUUCGGCCCAAGCCGGCGAAAAUCGGGCUCCUGAGGGCGCGACUGGGCCGUUUUUUCGGCGCCGGCGCAAAAAAAAACGUCUGGGGAUGCCCUGAUCCUCCAUUGUUUGCUUGACCGUGGUGUCUCGCUCUCUGUCGGCAUCAACCUCCAACGUUAUACUGCAUGCCACGACUAGUAGGUACCUCCACCGCGGAGUACUGUACAGCACAGUACUGUACCUCCACCGGUAUGCCACCGACGUGGCGAUGUCAGCUUGUAUGCGUACUGUACGUAUGUGCGGCGUCAGUAUUAUACUGUACAGUACUCCUGCUGAUCCUCCAACGUUAUGCAGCUAGUAGGUACAGUACUGCGCGGUGGAGCGGACUUGUAUGUGCACCGCUAACUAGGCGUGUGGAACCACCUCCUCCCCUCCCCUCCCCGUCCCGGUAGCGUGCCGUGGGAGAAGGAGCAGUUCGGCACGACGUCGGGCCGGGGUGGGGCCCGGUCGCCGGUAGAUAUUUGGCGGUGGCGUGCGCGGUUUACGACGACCCAUCGCCGGAUCGGGCAAGCUGGCAAUUGUUCCGUUGCACCACGAGAGUGCCUGGCUAACGCCGGCUUGAUCGGACACGUGUGAAAUGCAUCGGCCACGUGAGGUAGCCAGUCCAGUUUGCCGGUAGCUGGUGAUCAACUUAGGAAGAGGACCCUGCAAGUAAUAUGAUUCAGUGUCAAACACUGGCUCUUCCUGCUCGUUCUCAAUGAUCAUGUUGUGCAAGAUGACACAGCAAGUCAUGAUCUCCCACAUUUGAUCUUUCGACCAGGUCUGAGCAGGGUACCAGACAACAGCAAAUCAAGAUUGGAGCACACCAAAUGCCCGCUCGACAUCCUUCUUGCAAGCCUUCUGAAUCUUCGCAAACCAGGCGUUCUUGCCUCCUGGCACAGGGUUUGAGAUGGUCUUCACAAAUGUCGACCAUCUCGGAUAGAUGCCAUCAGCUAUAUAGUACCCCUUGUUGUACUGCCGCCCAUUGACCUCGAAGUUCACCGGAGGAGAAUGACUUUCAACAAGCUUGGCAAAGACUGGGGAGCACUGCAGGACGUUGAUGUCAUUGUGAAUUCCUGGCAUCCCAAAGAAAAAGUGCCAAAUCCAGAGGUCCUGUGUGGCCACUGCCUCAGGCACCACACUGCAACCGCCUUUGGCGCCUUUGUACAACCCCUGCCAAGCAAAUGGACAGUUCUUUCAUUUCCAAUGCAUGCAGUCGAUACUUCCAAGCAUCCCAGGAAAUCCUCUUGCUUCAUUCUGUGCUAGGAUCCGAGAAGUGUCUUCCGCAUUGGGUGUUUGCAAGUACUGCGGUCCAAACACUGCAACCACUGCCCUGCAGAACUUGUAGAAACACUCAAUGGUGGUGGACUCGGCCAUGCGCCCAUAGUCGUCAAGUGAAUCACCGGGAGCACCGUAUGCAAGCAUCCUCAUAGCUGUCGUGCACUUCUGGAUCGAGGUGAAUCCAAGUGUGUCGGUGCAAUCCUUCUUGCACUUGAAGUAGUUGUCGAACUCCCGGAUGGAAUUCACAAUCCGGAGGAAAAGCUUUCGGCUCAUCUGAUAACGGCGCCGAAAUGUUUUCUCACCAUGCAAUGGAGCGUCAGAGAAGUAGUCCGAGUAGAGCAUGCAAUAGCCUUCCAAACGAUGUCGGUUCUUUGCUUUCACCCGCCCAAGCGCCGAGCCACCUUGCCGCGGCUUCUCACUGCUCGCGAGCAGGCCGGCGAGGGCGGGCGAGCACCAUGAGAUGCUCCUACUCCUGGACGUCGGGGCGGCGGCGAAGAGGCUGCCUCGGCGACGCUCCUUCUUUUUCUAGGCUGGAGACGGUCUACCUAGCUGCGGCGGGUGGUGAUCGGUGCCGAAAUCGGCAGGGUGGCGGCCGAGCGCGGGGGGCACGAGGGCGAAUCUGAGCGGGUGGAUUGACUUUUCACCUGUCAAUGUGGCCCCAGGAACACUUUUCGCUUGCGCCNNNNNNNNNNNNNNNNNNNNNNNNNNNNNNNNNNNNNNNNNNNNNNNNNNNNNNNNNNNNNNNNNNNNNNNNNNNNNNNNNNNNNNNNNNNNNNNNNNNNNNNNNNNNNNNNNNNNNNNNNNNNNNNNNNNNNNNNNNNNNNNNNNNNNNNNNNNNNNNNNNNNNNNNNNNNNNNNNNNNNNNNNNNNNNNNNNNNNNNNNNNNNNNNNNNNNNNNNNNNNNNNNNNNNNNNNNNNNNNNNNNNNNNGAGCGCCGGGCGCAAAAAUGGCUCGAGCCAGUGGAAUUCGGCGUCCUGGGGGCGCGACUGGGCCGUUUUUUCGGCGCCGGCGCAAAUAAAUCAUCUGUGGAGGCCUUCCUAGGGGCGCCGCUGGAGAUGCUCUUAGUGAUUCGGGGAUGGAGAGGGCUCGUAGUAGGGAAGAGGGAUCCAUACCCAGAGCUGCAGUAACGUGGGCUUCAUUGAUGGGCCGUUCCAGCAUCAGGUUGCUCUGGGCCUCCAUCCCUUCUGGAACGCAAGUCUGUCUGUGUGUGGGGGCGGAAGAAGGGUGCAGAUAUUUGUGUUAAGCCCAAGUAGGCGGCCCAAAAGUACAGCUGACGGCACAACAUUUUUUUUUCCUCCUCAACAAGACUUUCAGGCAAUAGUUUCUGGGAACCAGCAUGCACACUACAGCCAUACCCAUAAUGCAGCACACUGAAAGUAGCUCAAAAUUUAUUCUUGGGAAUUACAUCUGAAUUAUUCUAUUGGCCAACAGCUGCUGCUGUAUAUAUGAAACCCAAUGUACUAACCAGCAAAUUGUUCUUCUACUUACUGCACACUCCCCUGACUGACUGACUGACUGCAAAGGGGGGUUGGGUGCCCAUUCCCAUCCCUCCCCAUUCUAUUGCACAUACACAAAUGGUACACUGAUAGUACACUAUUACACAAACACAUGAUACAAAUAUCCCUCCUGCAAAAAACACGGCUGCGCGACUACCUGAUCCAGGCCCCGAGGCCUGACCCGAAACAGCCAUCAAGUAGCACGACGCCCGCCCGCCUGCCUGCCUGUCUACCCUACGCGCCGUGGUUCCGGGCUUCAGCGGAACGAGAACGCGAU
rnacentral:lncRNA from 1 species